ACUGAAGAUAUUAAAAAUCAGAACUUCUUCUCCAAGUUUUCAUUUAGUUUAUUUCACUUGUCCAUCGGAAUUUUAUGCAAAGAAGAUUAAAUAAAGACAAUAGCAUGCCAAAGAUUAAAACCCCUCAUUUCAAACUCUGCUAAUGCACAACUCUGUUUGGUUUUCUUCUCCAGAGACCAGACUGAGUGAGGAGUCAAGUUCUCCAGUGCACCAACAAUCUCCCGUUCGAGCAGCCAUCACCACCUCACUUGCCACUCCGGCGAGGCACCACCUUGCCACCACCCUCAUGUCUCACUCCCUCUCUACCACUCUCCCUAUUUCCCUCACCUCUUUCUCUCGAUACUGUGCUCGCUGCACAGAAACAGCAAGGCAACCACCGUCGCCUUUUUUCACAGCGAACUACGCCGUAACGAAACCAUCACCAUUAAUCUCGCUACCUAGGCGAGUUUUACCACCCUCUGCAAACUGCCUUCAUGCCUUCUAAUUUCAAUUCUUGCAUUUCUUGUAUGGUAUCCAUGUCUUGCACAUUCAAAUACUUAUAUACCGACUGAGAAUAACAAUAUAAAUCCCACACCCACCUCUUUUUCCCCACUUGAAAAAAUCACCUAAAAACAACAUUAACCACCAUAGUUUAAGAAUCCAAACAUGGCUCCAAAUUUCAAUCUAAUUAAUUAAAUUACAGAGGAUUCUACCUACCUCAUGAAAACAAAUAUGUUCAAUUAAAGAAAUUCCCUAACCAAUGCAGUGCAUCUUAAACUACUUCUUAACUAUGUCAGCCAUACCAAUCUAAUAAAAAAUCCAUGUUUCAAUCGAUUCUUAUUAAUUCCAACUCCAAGUAUUUCAGCAUCUAGAUUAUAGAAAAAUCAUAACAAAACAAAACUCAAUCUUGGUGCUAAAGCACACUUCGUUAACCUCACCUUCAUCAAGUCCAUGAUUCCUGCCAUGAGAUCUUUCUCUUAAUCCAGACUUGGCUUCAGAUGCAAGAUCAAAAUAACGAAGCAUUCAGUUCCAUUUCUACGCACAGCAAAUUAAAAAUUGAAAUAUGUUAUAAUUUACUCGGAAUCUUCAUAAGUAUCAUCAAAACAUAUAAACAGAUACAUUUGAAAACUGAUAAAGCUACCUAAUUAAGUUGAAAAGUUGCUAAUUAAGAUCAGGUGCCAGUGCAUCCAGUGAGCCUUCCAAGGAAAGAUGGCCCCAUGGACUUAGACCUUGAAAACUGAGGCUUGUUUUGCCUUGUAAUUGUAUGAUCAGUAGCAUUCUUAUGGAUUGUAAUUGUAUGAUCAGUAGUAUCCUUAUGGAUUCCCAGAUGAAUCCUCAAAAUUUUGUUCUCAUCUGUUAGCUUAUGCACAUGGGACAAAAGCCGCUCAAUUGUUUCACACUUCUCCUUGUUUCUCCUUAUCAACUCAGCUCACUGCUGCAUAUUUCGUCAAUGAGUUUCGAGAUCUUUUCAUGCAACAUUUUAUCUUUUUCAACCACAUUACCAUCAGAUUCUACACCAUGAUCAAUACUCUCUUUUUCCAAAUAUUCUUCAAAAGUACACAAACCAACCUUUUUUAGGACAGACCAGCAUUUGUUUGUUUUGAUGGCUCUGAAUUUGGUUUCCGUUUUCUCUUUGUGGUGGUCUGAUCAAGAUGCAGUCCAAAAACUAAUUUGAGUGCCUACACAGAUGAACAUCGCAUAAAAAUCAAAAAUAAAAAACAGCAGCAGAGAUAAAAAAAAAGACAAUAAUUCUAAAAAAAUUUAAAUCAAAAGCUUAAGACUAACUCACAGGAAGUUCUGUGAGUUAAUUUUUUGGGCAAAAAAAAAUUCUAUUAAUGCAUUCUCAUACAAAAAAAAAUUCUUUAAAUACUGAUUUCAUGCGAUCCAGGAGCUAAGUGCUUAAAUCAGAAAAAUUUCUUUAACCCAGAUACUCUUAUAUUGCAGUGCAGCAAAGUUUUUCUUGAACGCUGACGAAUAUCACUCUGAAAUUAACCCAAAUAUAUCUCAGAGAUUGCAGAGAUUCAGACAAUCAAUAAUAAGAUGGCCGGAAUGUUCUUUAUUCAUUUGUCCUCCAUACUCUACCCUAAUCUUCUUAGGAUUUUAGUUAAACAACUUGCUCCUGUAACAGCUAUAUUAAAGCAUAAAUAUUCAUGAACACUCAUCACCAAUAGCAAAAAGGCAUAAAGUAUUUUUACAUAAAUCUAAAGAUCCCUUUUGUGUCCCAAACCCAGGUCUGUCCUCUCUUUGCCUUCCUCCUUCAGGGCAUAAUUAGAGAUACCCACCAACAGUAUAACCAGAAAAAUUGCAGUGAGAUUUUAAAGUACGAACUUUAUUUGAUAUUGCAAUGAAAUAUAACAAAAUGUAAAAAAAUUGUUAUUUUGGUAAUAGACAGUGGAAUAACAGAAGAAGCCGAACCCAGAAAAAUUAAAAACACAUAAUCACAGUAGAAGAAGCAAACCCAAGAAAAUACAUAAAAUAAAAUAAAAGGGUGCAACUUUUAUUGGCGGGUGAAUGAGUAGACAAUAAAAAAAAGUGCAAACUUUGAGUUCAAAACAAACCUCGUACCAUUGAAAUUUGAGACUUGGAGUCGCCCACGUGAAGGGUUUUAUGAGAAGACAGUAUUAGGCGUGCUGAAGUUAGUUUAUGCUUUUAGUUGUAAAUUCACAUCUAAUACUAGUUGAACACAAAUUUCAGCAAAUACACAGAAGAAAUAGCAAGAAUUCAUUUCAGAAAUGGGAAAAAAUUAAAUUAAAAAUAGAAAACAAAGGGCCGAAAAGCUGCAUACCUAAACACAAUUUCAUAUCUUUUUAUCCUCUUCGAGUACCGAUCCAUUCCAGAGAGAGGGAGAGAGGAGGAAGGAGACGACGAAGGGGGAGAGGAGGGAGAGGAAGGCGAGAGGAGGAAAACGACGGAGGCGAUUUACUGUCUGUGUUGUUCUCGCGGGGACUGCGAGAUGAACGAGGUGAGGAAUGACCAGGUGGCUCUGGGCUCAAGGUCAGUGAAGCAGUGGCGAAGCCAAGAUUUACCGAGGGGAGGGGAGGGGCGAAAUUCAAAAGAGUGCAAAGUUAUCGAAUGGUUGCUUUCACAUUGGAGAGUGUAAAGUUUUGAGUCAAUAUUCAUAGCAAAAGAUAGUUUUGCAUCAAAGUUGUUGUAAGCAAUAAUAUCAAAACUAAUGUAAGAAGCUUAAAUUGGCAAAGAUUAUAUCGUAAAAAAUAUUGUGUGCUAGUCAAAUAGUGGACCUAGCAGACCUAGGCGAUAUCUAAGCAGAAGCCUAGAUGGAUUUAAAUUAUCGUAAAAUAAGUAUUAAACAAUAUUUACAUUGUUUUUAAAAAAUAAUACAAUAUUUAUAGAUAAUGUGAGAGUUUAAGAAAAUACGGUGAGAGUCUUAAAAGAGAAAAUAAAAGGGAAGUGUUAUUGGCACUCCAAAAAUCUCAUUCUACACUCCUCACAAGUGUAUUUUUAUUUCUAAAUAUAGAAAAUUUUGAAUGUAGAAUGAGAUUUUUAGAGUGCCAAUAACAAUUCCCAAAUAAAAAUACAUACACGAACAAAAAUUUGAAAAAAAAGAGAGAAAUAGGUUAAUAAGGACAAUACUUGGGUACUGCCUUUUUUCAAUGACUACAAUGUCACUCAGUAAAGUUAAAACAUGUGUCCUACUUUUCUUAUUAAAACUAGCAACCAAACACCCUCGUGUUUAAGGAAGACGGGCAUCCAAACAACCCAUUUAUUCCUUUCGUCCCUAACAUCUCCGCACGUCUGUAUACCAUGGUUUCCAUUGCUCUCAUCAUCACCACUCCAUUUCAAACAUAAGCACAAACACAAACAAUAAUCCAGCAAUAAUUUACCCAUUUGAAAACCCAAUUUUUUUUUUCAAAUCUGGACAAACAACCAAAUUUCAUUGCGACCCGCCACCAAUCCUUAUCUCCUUCGGUGACCCACCACCAAUCCUUCUCUACUUCGACGACCCACCUCCUCUCACUCUCUUCUACAGAAAGACUAACUCCUUGUCCUUCUCUUGAACGACGGCGAUUGCUGAAGACUGUCUCCCCCACAGCAAUAGAAACCAGAUCACUGGAGCGGGAAUUCUCAUUUCCGACGAGAGCGGAGGGGCUGAACGAGCGCUCUUAGGCAUGUUUUCCGGCGAGGGGAGUGGCGGCCGCCACUCCUUACCCUCACGUAGCUUCGCCACUGUCAGUGAGAAAAUGAGAGACCUAAACGGCUAGGUUAGAAAUGAGAGUAUGGGUUGAGGGGCACAGAAGAUCUGGAAAUGAUUUUUACCUUUCAAUUUGGAAAUGAUUUUUGCUGACCACUGUCAUGUUCCGUGAUUUCUUCCAUCACAAGAAAUCAAGUUGGGCUCAAAUUGUAAUAGUUUGGGUUCAAUUUGCAAUUUACAGCUUUUAAGUGGUAUUUUAUUUUAGGGUUAAUAUCAGUUUACUAUCCUGAAAUUUUGUGAUUUUCAAUAUUUGGUACAUGAAAUUUUUUUCAUCCCAGAGUCAUACCUCAAGACUUAAUUUUGGGACAAUUUCAUACAACCGUUAGAAAUUCUGUUAACUAAUGACGUGGUGUUCACGUGGACAAUAAUUGAGCGCCAUAUGCCAAUAUUGGCCCACUCCAAUAUUAAAAAAAAUUAUAAAAAAAAAAAAAAGAAAACCCAACCUUCCCUCACCCACCCCCUCCCCCGGCACCCUCUCCCUCUGUUCUCUCUUCUGCAAGUCCCAGCACCUCUCGAUUUUCCUUCAAUUUGACCCAUUUGGGACUGGGAGCCAAAUUAGACUAGGAGUUGGAAUUUGAGGUUCCAGGGGAAAUGGGGAAGACCCAGAUGGCAAUCUGAUUCACCAUUGGAGAUAAAACUGAAUCUGGAUAUUUGCACAGUGCAAAGCUCAGAUCCGUUCACAAUCAAGCUAUUACAGAAGAAGACUUGAGGUUUGGACUUGCAGGCGGCAACGUUGGCCAAUGUCCACACGUUCAGGCAGAGGCUGGUGACCUCGACGAGGAUCAGAAGGGAGAGAAUGGCGGCUGCACUGUGCGAAGCGACGCAGCAGCAUGUGAGGAAGAUGAAGAGUGUGAUGAGGAUGACAGCGAGGGUGAUGUGGGCGAGGAGAACAGAGGCGUGGAAUUGGAGAAGAGAGAAGGGAGAAGCGAGGGAAGAGGUGAGGGUUGCAGAAGAGAGAAAUGAUGGAGAUGGUGCGGGGGGGUGAGGGACGGGUGGGAUUUUAUUUUUAUUUUUAUUUUUUUUGUUUUUGUGUUUUUGUUUUUAUUUUUUUAAUUUUUUAAUAUUGAAGUGGGCUCAUAUUGACAUGUGGCACUCAGUUAUUGUCCACGUGGAUGUCACGUCAUCAGUUAACAAAAUUUCUAAUGGAAAACUUAACGGAUGUAUGAAACUGUCCCAAAAUUAAGACUAGAGGUAUGACUCUGAGAUGAAAAAAAAAACUUCAUGCACCAAAUGUUGAAAACCACGAAAUUUCAGGAUAGUAAACAGAGAUUAACCCUUUAUUUUACUAGUUUCUUUGUUAGUGACAAGUGGCAAGACAGACAUGUGUAAUGGGUUGGCUAUAUAGCCACACUCUCUCUCUUCCAACUGUUAGAAUGAAUUUAAUAUAAUUUCACAAAAGCUGAGCUAAUCUCUUUCCUUCUUCCUUCUCUAUUUAUGUAUCUUGCUCGGUCAAGGUUGAACGGUAGUUUGAAGUUGGUGGGUAUCUUGCAAGUUCCCUCAACUUUAGACUAUGGUAAUGGUCUAUCCAUUUAUACCUGUGGGUGGUGGUAGUGCCUAGUGGUGGCUUGCUGUUGUCUAUAAAAUGUGUGGCCUUAUGCUUGUUGUAAAUAAUGGGUAUGUUUGCCCACAUGUGUGUACUAUAUACUCACAAGCUAAAUAGUAAUGUUUUGUAAUUUUCCAUUGAAGUGGCUCUAUAAAUAGAGCACUUCAUUUGUGCAAAAGAGGGAUAUAAGAAGAAGAAAUAAAAGAGAAAUAUAUCUAAUAGCAAUAAUAUACAUUACUUCCUCAGCAACAGCUUGUGUUGGUAUAAUACUCUGCAACUGCUUCGUUCCUGUCCCGAGUAAAGGUUAUCUCUCUAUAAAUUUUGCCUAUUUAUAACACGUUAUCAGCACGAGUCUCUAAGUAUAACCAUGUCUCAUUUACAUUCACUAAACAAUAAAGGAAAUCAUUCUCUCUUUUCUCUCCGCCGAACGAAAAAAAAAAAAAAUGUUUCCUCUAAGGUUUUUCCUGUUCAUCUUCUUCAUCUGCCUCAACUGCGCGGUAUAUCCUCGUGACGAACUAUUUGCUCCAUGCCUGCUCGUAGUUCUCCAACUAGCGGUUACAUACAUCUUUGAUUACUUGUUUGGUUUGGAUAUUGAUUACUAACAUAGUAUUUAUAUUGAUUUUACUGCGAUCCAAGAUGGUGCGGUAUCAUCGCCUAUCUUGGACUGCAGAUCUACUUUUACUGCAAAUUUCAGGUGGAGCGGUAUAAUCGCCCUCCUUGCUCUCCAAAUUUAAAUUUACCUGUUAUUUAAUUUCAUUGCAAUUUUAGGUGGUGCGGUAUAAUCGCCCUCCUUGCUCUCCAAAUUUAAAUUUACCUGUUAUUUAAUUUCAUUGCAAUUUUAGGUGGUGCGGUAUAAUCGUCCACCCUGCUUUGCAUAUUUAAAUUUUAUCGCAAUUUUAGGUGGUGCGGUAUAAUCGUCCACCCUGCUUUGCAUAUUUAAAUUUUAUCGCAAUUUUAGGUGGUGCAGUAUAAUCGUCCACCUUGCUCUACAUAUUUAAAUUUUCCUGCUGUUUAAAGUAGUGCGGAAUAAUCACCCAUCCUAUACUUAUUUCGAUGAGAAUGGUGCGGUACAAUUGCCCUUCUCAUUAAUUGUGUAAAUCUCGAGCCUGAAGUUUCGAGUACUUAUCAUUUUGGCCUGAAGAUCAAAAAUUUGUAAGAACCAGAAGUUCUAACAAUAUAUUUCUCCAGUACACAUAUUACUGCAAGUUCUUACACACCUCAUUUUUCUUUCAGAAAAGAAAAUGGCAAACUUGGCAAAGCUUGAUUUUGCUGCCCUGGACAUUACUGGAAAGAAUUACCGUACAUGGGUACUGGAUACCAAGAUCCAUCUGGAAGCAGCAAAUCUUGGAGAAACCAUCAAGAAAGAGAGCAGCUCAUCCUCUCAAGAUCGGGCAAAGGCCAUGAUUUUUAUUCGUCGCCAUCUUGAUGAGGCACUAAAGAGCGAGUACUUAACGGUUAAAGAUCCGUUAGCCCUUUGGAAUGCCUUGAAAAGCAGAUACAAUCACCAGACAACGGUGAUUCUUCCAAAAGCUCGCUAUGACUCGACUCACCUAAGGAUCCAGGAUUUCAAAUCAGUGGCUGAGUACAAUUCGGCGUUGUUCAGAAUUACCUCUCAGAUGAAACUCUGUGGGGAUACUAUCACUGAGGAGAUGUUAUUGGAAAAGACUUUCAGCACAUUCCACGCCUCUAACAUGGUACUGCAACAGCAGUAUAAAGCGCGAGGCUUCACUGAAUACAACCAGCUGAUAUCUGUGCUCCUGGUAGCUGAACAGAACAAUGAGCUUCUCAUGAAAAACCAUAAUUCCCGACCUACUGGAUCAGCACCGUUCCCAGAAGUGAAUGUUGCUUCCCUUGAAAGGAAUACCAUAUCCUCCCGUGGCAAUAAUUACAAACGAGGAUGUGGCCACAAGCAAGGUCGGUGGAAAGGGAAAAGCAAGAACCAUGGUGUCCAGUUUCACAACCAGGUUCCAAGGUAUAAUCCAGGCCCGAGCUUUAAAAAUACCAAUCGCCAGAAAGGAAAAGCUCAUGUGAACACUCCUAGAAAUCAUGAAGGAGGUUGCCAUAGGUGUGGUGGCAACGGACAUUGGGCGCGUACUUGUCGCACCCCAAAGCAUCUGGUGGAACUAUAUCAAGCCUCCUUCAAGGAGAAGGGUGUCGAGAUCAAUUUCCUUGACCAGGCUAAACCAAUGGAAACCCCUGAUCCAGUGACCAAUUUAUCAGGACAAUUAAACACAACCCACCUGGAUGCUACAGACUUUAUUAAUGAAAGAGGGAAUGAAGUUUAUGGGUCCGAUUGAAUUAUUUAUGUUUAAUGUACUCAUGUUUUUUGUACCUGUGGUUUAAUGCUCGCAUUUUCAAUUCAAUAAAAGUAGUAUUCCAGUAUGAAUAAACUGCUUUUUCUUUACUCAGAGAUCAUGGAUAAAAAUUAUGGUUAUUCUCAAAACAAGAUCAAUGGCGGAGACUUUUGUCUUGCAGAUAGCGCAACCACGCAUUCAAUACUUCGAGAUCGAAAGUAUUUCUCGAAUUUGGUACUUGCAAAAGUAAAGGUAACAACAAUAUCAGGACCAUCAGAUGUAAUUGAAGGCUCAGGAAAAGCCCAGAUUAUGUUACCAAAUGGAACAAUAUUGUCUAUAAUGAAUGCAUUAUAUGCUACUCGGUCCAUUCGAAAUUUGUUGAGUUUUAAAGACAUACGUCUAAAUGGAUACCACCUUGAAACGAAAAUUGUAGAAAAUGUGGAAUAUUUAUGCAUUACCUCCAAUGAUACCCAGAAGCGUAUAUUGGAGAAGUUGCAUGGUUUAUCGAGUGGAUUGUAUUGUACAUACAUAAAGACAGUUGAGGCAUAUACUGUCAUGAACCAGAAGUUCAUUGAUUCAAAGGUUUACAUGCUUUGGCAUGACCGUCUAGGUCAUCCAGGAUCUACCAUGAUGCGUAGAAUCAUUACCAACUCUAAUGGACAUCCAUUACUGAGCAGACACAUUAAUGUCUCGAAUGAUAAACCUUGCAAGGCUUGUUCCCAAGGGAAGUUGGUAAUUAGACCAUCACAACUAAAGGUUGAUGAUGAAUCCCCAUCAUUUUUGCAAAGAAUUCAAAGGGAUAUUUGUGGACCUAUUCAACCACCUUGUGAACCAUUUCGAUAUUUUAUGGUUUUGGUUGAUGCAUCUACCCGAUGGUCACAUGUUUGCCUAUUGUCUACUCGAAAUGUAGCUUUUGCAAGACUUCUUGCUUAGAUAAUUAAGUUGCGAGCACAGUUCCCAGAUCAUCCCAUUAAGUCCAUUCGACUUGAUAACGCUGGUGAAUUUACGUCUCAAACCUUUGAUGAUUACUGUAUGGCAUUGGGCAUUGAUGUUGAACACCCUAUUCCUCAUGUCCAUACUCAAAAUGGUUUAGCAGAAGCAUUGAUCAAGCGGCUUCAAUUAAUAGUCCGCACUCUGCUUAUGAAAACCAAAUUGCCAGUUUCUGCAUGGGGACAUGCCAUUCUACAUGCUGCAUCAUUGGUUCGAUUGAGACCUAUAGCCAACCACCAAUACUCCUCAAUACAACUCAUGUUUGGACAUCAGCCAAACAUUUCACAUUUACGAGUUUUUGGUUGUGCUGUUUAUGUGCCUAUUGCACCCCCGCAACGCACUAAAAUGGGACCUCAGCGUAGACUGGGAAUUUAUGUGGGUUUUGAUUCACCAUCUAUUAUUAGAUAUUUGGAACCCUUGACAGGUGAUAUAUUUACAGCUCGUUUUGCUGAUUGUCAUUUUGAUGAGACAGUCUUCCCAUCGUUAGGGGGAGAAAAGACCGUUCCAGAAGAACGGAAAGAGCUGACAUGGGUUGUUCCCACCUUAUCUCAUUUUGAUCCUCGAACCCUUCAAUGUGAAAAUGAAGUGAAAAGGAUCGUUCAUCUUCAAAGCAUUGCCAAUCAAAUGCCAGAUGCAUUUAAUGACGUUAUGAAAGUGACAAAAUCGCAUAUACCAGCUGCAAAUGCACCUGCCAGAAUUGAUGUCCCUGUUGGACAAAAUAAAGUGGCAGCGAAUGAUUCAUCUGGUGCACGCCUGAAGCGUGGUAGACCACCAGGUUCAAAAGAUUCAGCCCCUCGGAAGAGAAAGACGAGAGCACAACUGAAUCCAAAUGAAAUCAUUCAGGAAGAGAGAGUAAAUGACAAAUCCACAAUUCAUGACUCUGGACUUCCAGAAGAAGAAAAUGGCCCUGAAGAGACAGAAGUACAUGAAAGCAAAGAAAUCUCCAUAAACUAUGCAUGUACUAAUGAAUUGUGGGAUCGGAAUGAAAUAAUCAUUGACGAUAUGUUUGCAUUCGCAGUAGCCACUGAAAUCAUAUUAAGUGAUGAUAUUGAGCCCCGCUCUGUUGAUGAAUGCAAACAGAGACAAGAUUGGCCUAAGUGGAAAGAUGCAAUCCAGGCAGAAUUAAAUUCCUUGGAAAGGCGAAGUGUUUUUGGACCAGUAGUCCAAACCCCAACUGAUGUAAACCCCGUAGGUUACAAAUGGGUAUUUACAAGGAAACGCAAUGAGAAAAACGAGAUUGCUAGAUACAAAGCACGACUCGUUGCACAAGGCUUUUCACAAAGACCUGGAAUUGAUUAUGAGGAGACAUACUCUCCUGUAAUGGACACAAUUACGUUCUGUUACUUAAUAAGUUUGGUGAUUUCAGAAAAACUUGACAUGCGACUUAUGGAUGUCAUCACCGCGUAUCUAUAUGGAGAAUUAGAUACUGACAUAUUCAUGAAAGUCCCAGAAGGACUUAAGUUGCCUGAAGCAACAAACAAACCAUGGGGUAUGUUCUCAAUCAAAUUAAGGCGAUCACUAUAUGGGCUGAAACAAUCUGGGCGAAUGUGGUAUAAUCGUCUCAGUGAGUAUUUGAUUAAAGAAGGAUAUAUCAACAAUGUCAUCUGCCCUUGUGUGUUCAUUAAGAAAUCCAACUCUGGAUUUGCUAUAGUGGCAGUAUAUGUUGAUGAUAUGAACUUAGUUGGGACUCCUGAAGAGCUCCAUAAAACUGCUGAAUAUCUGAAAAGCGAAUUUGAAAUGAAAGACCUUGGGAAAACCAAAUAUUGUCUAGGCCUGCAGAUCGAGCAUUGUGUUAGUGGAAUUUUGGUCCAUCAAUCAGCUUACAUUGAAAAAAUACUGAAGCGAUUUGGCAUGGACAAGGCUUAUCCACUUAGCACCCCAAUGGUCGUUCGUUCUUUAGACAUUAAGAAAGAUCCAUUCCGUCCAAAGGAAGAUGAUGAACUGGUCCUUGGUCCAGAAGUACCAUAUUUGAGCGUAAUAGGUGCUUUAUUGUAUUUAGCACAAUGUACUAGACCAGAUAUAGCUUUUUCAGUUAACUUGUUAGCCAGGUACAGCUCUGCUCCAACAAUUCGUCAUUGGAAGGGAGUCAAAGAUGUUCUACGAUACCUUCGUGGGACAACAGAUAUGGGUCUCUUCUAAUCAGACAAGCCCACAAAUGAACAAAUCCUUGUUGGAUACGCAGAUGCUGGUUUUCUCUCCGAUCCGCAUAAAGCCCGCUCACAAAAUGGAUAUGUGUUCACUAAUGGAGAUACUGCAAUUUCAUGGCGAUCAACGAAGCAAACGCUAGUUGCAACAUUUUCCAAUCAUUCGGAAAUAAUUGCUCUACAUAAAGCAAGUCGUGAAUGUUCUUGGUUAAGAUCAAUGAUCCAUCACAUCUGGAAUUCAUGUGGUCUACCUUCAAAGACAGACACUCCAACUGUCAUCCAUGAAGAUAAUGCAGCCUGUGUCGCCCAGAUGAAGGAAGGAUUUAUCAAAGGUGAUAAGACUAAACACAUAUCUCCAAGAUUUUUCCGCGCACAUGAGCUUCAGAAGGCUAAAGUUAUUGAAGUCAGACAAAUCCGUUCCAAUGAAAAUUUAGCAGACUUGUUCACCAAAUCUCUACCAAAGUGCACAUUUCAGAAGUUGGUACAGGGAAUCGGAUUACGUCGGCUUACGGAUUUGAAGAAUGCGGAAUCAGGGGGAGAUACAAUUCAGGGGGAGCAUCCAUGAUACAUGCAUGUUGUACUCUUUUUCCUUCGCUUAGGACUUUUCCCACUGGGUUUUUCCUAUCAAGGUUUUAACGAGGCAACCUAAGCAUGCUCAACACCAUCCGGGUAAAGUUGUACUCUUUUUCCUUCGCUAUGGUUUUUUCCCACAGGGUUUUUCCAAGCAAGGUUUUAAUGAGGCAACUGAUGUUGAUAUGUGGGCAUCCAAGGGGGAGUGUUGUAAAUAAUGGGUAUGUUUGCCCACAUGUGUGUACUAUAUACUCACAAGCUAAAUAGUAAUGUUUUGUAAUUUUCCAUUGAAGUGGCUCUAUAAAUAGAGCACUUCAUUUGUGCAAAAGAGGGAUAUAAGAAGAAGAAAUAAAAGAGAAAUAUAUCUAAUAGCAAUAAUAUACAUUACUUCCUCAGCAACAGCUUGUGUUGGUAUAAUACUCUGCAACUGCUUCGUUCCUGUCCCGAGUAAAGGUUAUCUCUCUAUAAAUUUUGCCUAUUUAUAACUAUGCUUUGUUUAUUGGAUAUUUAUAAUAUUAUACAAUUCCAAUUACUUUAGUCUAAAGUAGGAAAUCCAAUUGCAUUGUUCAACUUCAACUGAACAGUGUUUUGGACCGAAUUUCACUUUAUUUACAAAAUUUCCACCACCCCUAUCUGUCGUUCAAAUUUUGCUUAUAUCUUUGUGCAGUGUGUCUGUUGUAUUAUCUGGUCACAGAUACCUUAGUUCAGUAAUUUGAGAAGCAUGGGGAGACAAUAGACUAAUCAAAGAGAUGCAUGUGAUCAACGAUAAACAAGUAAGCAUCAUCCUCUUCCUUCUUUUGUUAUGAUUCGUUGUAUAGAGAAUUGAGAAAAAAGUUGAAGACAAUUCCGCGCUUUUGAGUUAUAGCAAUUAAUAUCUAAAAUGACAUUGAUUAGUUCACUUAAGUGUUGAAUCCUUCGUUAGUUUAUCUAUGGUGUGUGCUUGAGAAUGAAAGCAAUGGACAUUAUAUAGAAUUGAUGUUCCUUUUAAUGUCAGUAAAGAAAGGAGUUGUUCCUUUAUUAGCAAUUAUAUGAAGUAGGCAUAUUAUACAAUGUCUACAAUCGACUAUUUUACUUUUUGUAUAUAAGUAAAAAUGUUGAUCGAAAGCCACAAAAACUACCUAAGGGCCGAAGAACUGUUUAUGUUAGAAGAACAGAAUAUGGUGUAAAGCUUAAAUUUUGGGCACUUCAAAAUAUGUUUUUUUUUUCAAUUAUAAUAACUUGCAUGAAAAUUCAAUUGGGUUUGUUCUAGUCUCCAAGAAUUUUGCUUUGUUUGGUUACUAAUUAAUUUAUGUGGUGGGAGUUUAGUUUUUCCUUUUCUGCCUAUGUAUAUAUAAUUCGAAAUGGACCGUUCAAUUUGCUAUAUAUAAAUUUGUAAUCGAAAAGCUCGAAAAAGAGGUGAAUAAAAAACAAUGGUGGUAGAGUGAUGGAGUUGAGGAGUUGAGAGUUUACAGGGUUUACUUGAAUUUUUGUAUGAUGUCCCUGGUAUGUUAGAUCAUUGAAACUAACUGUCUGGUUGAUUAAUCACUAAUUUGAAAUAUUUAAAGUGUAACUUUUCUUUAAUUCACUUUUCUUUUGUAUUUUCAUUGGAGUGCAGAUAAAAGAUAUUUCUUUUAUCUUUUUCAACCACAAACUUUCCGAUGUCUUUUGAGAGUGGUCCAACUAGAGUAUUGGAUGACAAGUUUAGGUUUAAUAUAUACUUGAGUUCCCACAAGGAAGAUGGUAUUUUAGAAGUUAACAAAUUGGACCCUAACGAUAGACUUCUUAGAGAUACGUCCUCCCAGUUUGUAGCCUUUGUAUUGAAGUUGGAAUUGCUUCGCUCAACUGAUUAUUUCCCAGGCUUAAAUCUAUCAAGUUGUUGAAGUUACCAAUAUCAACGAGAAUGUUACCGUUGAUGUUGGAAAUGCUUAAAUCAAUAGUUAGGAGUGACGUAAAGAUAUGCUAACAGUUUGGGUCUUUUACGACUUGAAAUAUACGGCGUACAGACCGGCAUGCCUUAAAUGAUAUUAUUCAUGACAUUCAUAAAGUUCAUAUCGUAAUACUUACGCAUAAUCUCGUAUUCACAACAUCACUUUUAUGCAAGUAGUUAAAUAAAAAUAUUUAUGACUUAAGCGUUGUCUAUCGUAUCUCACAAUCCCAUAGUAUUCAAUCUACAACUUUCAUUUACCUCACAUAUCUCAGGUUUUGUCUAUCUCUCUCUGCCUCUCUCACGCAGUCUCUCUCUCGACUUUCACUCUCUCAGAUUCGUAUCUCCCAAUCCCAGCGGCCUCGAUAUCUCUCUCGUCUCCAACCACGAUACCACCAUCAUCUCCUGUCAACUCUCGACUCUCUCCCACCACCUGCACUUGACGGUCCUGACUCCUGACCACCAUCUAUGUUCCAAAUAAGGUAUGCAGUUAGGGAUUUAAGAUUGAAAUAAAUUGGGGUUUUCUAGAUUUAGGGAUUUGGAUUUGGUCAAUUCUGGAAUCAAAUGUUAAUUAUAAUUUGUUUAAUUUUGGCAAUUUGAGUGCAAAAUUAGGGUUUUGUUAUUUCAAGUGUUGACAGUAAGACCCUUUGUCAAUUAGUAACCACUUAGUGCUUGUUUUCGAUCUGUCAUUGAAUACGAAAUCACGACUUUUAAUUUUUCAUUUUACAAGUCAUCAUAAGGAAUAGAUAAUUCUAGAAUUAUAGUGCAAACUCUUGAUUUUCAGUUUCAGACUUGGUUUUGUUUCAGAAUUCUGAGGAAUUUUAAUCAUGGUGUUGGGGAUUUGUUAAUUUUGCUCUCUCGCUCUCUCUCGCUCUCUCUCUCUCUCUCUCUCUAUGAUUUGGUUGGGAUUGCAGAGUGACUUGGGUUUCUUUGUAUGCAUGUCCCGGACCUCCAGGUCACAUGGGGUACUUAGCAAGGUUUUACUUUUGCAAAGGAGAUGGAGAUGUUACAGACUUACAGUGAUACUGCAAUCCAAAUAAUCUGUUUUGAAAAUCCAAAUAAUCUGUGAGUAUGUUGUAGCAGUAGAAUAACACUGUGGGGCUUAGCCUAGUACUUAAAUUAUUGACUUUGUUGCUUAGGAUAAUUUGAUUGAGUUCCUUUGGUAUGAUUUAUAUUCACUUAUUUAUUCUAUUUAUUUUUACUAUUUUUCAGGUAGCAUUCAAGUCUUUGGUGAAAUUUUAAACGAAGAGGUUGCAAAUGCAGCGGUAAUGAGUGGAAAAGUUUAUACUUACUUUUAUUAGUAUUGAAGUCUUUAUCAAUUUCUAAGUUAACAUUUUGUUUUGACUAGCUCGUAACUUACCAAUCGAAUCCAUCCCCUUUGACUAGCUAGAGUAUCUUGGUUGGGAACUCUAUCUGUUCCCAGCGCCUAGUAUCCAAAGAUGAAGUUGAGACGGGUUGGGAACUCUCUCUUUCUCUCCUUUUGUUUUAGUUCCCAAGAAAGUUGAUUGGAUUGAAGAAAAUGGAACAAAAAGAAAUGAAAAAAAAAUUGAAAUUUGUUGGUGCUUAUGUUGAUGUUGAAUUUGUAAUAUAUUAAGACCCAAAAACUAGAUAAAUGGCUAACUUUGAUGUAAAUUGAUAACAGCAAGCCACUAGGUCAAAAAACAGUGAGUCUUACCUUAGAGCUUUUGGGGAUAUCAUAAUUGAUAACCAUAUCCACCGAUCGAAUAUCCAAUCUUGUACUUGCCGCAUCAAUUCUUCAUGCAUGAAAUGUUAAGAGACUCAUAAAUUUAUCUACUUGCAAGUAUAUGAUUUUUAUGCAGGUUAUAGGAAACAAUAAAAUCGUAAAGGCAUAAUUUGUGUAUAUUUUAGUCAUUUGAUACAUGUAUGAGUGUAAAACAAUAAAACUGUGAAGGCAUAAUUUGGGAUAUAGGUUUGUAUGAUAGUGAUUAGUUUUUCUUUCAGUAUCACUUUUCUUACUUGAGAUUAAAUGUGUAUUUCUACAUAUAGCAGCACAAUAGAUUUUUUUUUGCUCCAUGUGCUUAUGUCUAUGCAGAUAGAGAUAGCAAUUAGUGUGGUUCAAGCAUUAGGAGCAGUAUUUCAUUCUCAAAGGACUUUGUUUGAAGGUGUUCAAUGAAAAGUGAAGUCUUUCAAGUGACAAAUUUCUUUGUUAUUAGAGGCCUAUUUGGUAUUUCAUGUGUAGUUUGAUAUUGACCUUAGCUUUGUUCAACUUGUAAUACAUUUUGACAAUAUGAUUAUUUAUGAUUAUGGUAAAUGUGUAAUUUUGUCAAUUCUUAUAUAUAUAUAUAUAUUAAUUGUUGAUGUUAGUCUCCAUUUAUGAUGUACGACGUAUGCCGUAAUUGCUUUCACAGUAUUACGACACUAAACAAACGUUGUAUCAAAUAUAAAUUACGGCACACAGGUAUGCCGUAAUUGUUUUUGCAGUAUUACGACACUUCAUUAACACCGUAUCUAAUACCAAUUAAGGCGCGCAAGGCAUGCCUUAAAGAGUAUUUACAACGUGUUUUGCUUAAAUUAUUCACGGCUACUAUAGAACGUCGUAUUUGACAAAACAUCUUUUAUGACAUGGGUUUUUACUGCUUGGGGGCUCACGCUGUGAAUAAUCGUUUACGGCGCUCUUUGUGCACCACAAAAGACUAGUUAUGUUGUAGUGAUAUUAUGUAACAAAUGCUCAAUUUUCUUUUGCACUCUUUUAUGAAUUUCAUUUGGAUGGGAAUGGUUACGUGACAUUACUUGUUACACCAGAAAAUGUCUGGUUUUGGUAUAAAGACUUAACUGCAAAAAGGCAUCUGAAAGGUUUCGUUUAGCUACUAAGAAAGUUUGGGAGGGGUCAAACGUCUUAGGUUGAGAUUACAUAUACAAGGGUGUUAGAUUUACAUAAUGGGUUUACAUAAUGAGUUGUUGAUGACUACAUACACAUUGAGAAUUUAGCUUAUGUCUUUGUGUCCGAUGAGGGAGUGGUUUUUUUUUUUUUUUUUUUUUUUUUUUUUUUUUUUCGGGUGUCAUUCCAUUUUAAUCUUAGUUCCAUUCAAAUGAAGAUAUUUAAAGAACCUAACGUAAAACAUCUGUACAAGCAAAACACAUCUUAGCAACGCCAAUAAAAUUAUCUACGAGAGUUGAUCCAAUCCAGGCAAGCCGCACGGUGGGUUAUUGAGGACAAAGCUGCCGAGAUCCAUAUUAAAACUCCAAUUUGGCAACUGAUGAGCAACACAAUUCCGCUCCCUAGAUACAUGCUUCAUGCUUCAGCUCAGCUCACAUCUAACCAAUUGACUCAUCAAUGUUUUGCAUAUGCUCACAAUUGUAUCAAGAGGAUAAUAACUAUCAACCAAAUUUUGUUAGAACAAAGUGACAGCAAACACCUCUGUCAAUAAAAUCUCCUUAUCCCAAAUGGACGCAGAUUGUCUGCCCUCCUAGUUGUGGUGCCGUUCCAUGCCCUCCUAUUUUGUGCGGUUACGGUUAAACCACAUCAACAUUUUAUAUUAAUUUUUUAAUGAGAUAAUAAGACAAAAAAUAAUAAAAAUAUAAAAUAUUGACGUGGCUUAACCGUGGCUGCACAAAAUAGGAGGGCAUGGAAGGGCACCACAACUAGGAGGGCAGACAAUCCUUGUCCAUCCCAAAUUGGCUGAGAACUCUACCCACACCAAUAUUGAACCAUCAACGUCAAGCUUUCACCCAGUUCUCGACUUUUUGCGUGUUUACUACAAGUAUGGAAUCUGAAGGGCUAGUUGAUUCGUAGCUCAAUACUUGAAAAUUAGGAGUCAAAUCAAAAUGUUUAUUUUUUAUUGGUAACACAUUUGCAAAUUUGGUUUAAAAAUUAAGUUACCUGAUAUUAUCCUAAUAUAAAUAUCUUUUGACAAAUAAAAAAUGCAUACAAAGAUAAAUUUGAGUGGUGAUAUCCACACACUCAUUUUUACCUUUCACACACCUUUAUUAUUUCCCGGGCUGUUGAACAAUUGAAACAAUCAAAUAAUAUAAAUUAAUAAGUGAUGUGUGAAAAAUAGAAAUAAGCGUGUGAAGAGCCACAAAACUAAACAGAUACCCAAAAAUACCACAACACACAAAGUCAGUCGUUACAUUUCAGUUGCAAAUGAAAAUUAUGAACACUGGGAUUUGCUCUCUCUAUCGCUGAGAGAUUCUCUGUUAUUGAUGGCAAUGGCGGACAAUGGCAGUCGUCUGCAAAUGCAUAACAUCGAGGAGGAGCUUCUUCUGCUUCAGAGCAGUCAGUUUCGACGACAAGCCCGACCGCCGAAACCUCCUCCGAAACGUUUUGACCCUUCCCGUCUUUAAAAAAGGCCUCUUCACUUGCUGCAGCCCAUCCCUUGCCGGAAGCAGUAUUCUCAGGUUUAUCUCACACAAUUACGGGUUUUUCCCGUUUUCUUUUGAGUUGCACGGUCUGUUUGGUUCCCCAGAAAACGCAGGAAAUUUUUGAAAGUUUUUGAGCUUCUGUAGGGUUUACUAAAGUGAAUACUUGACUAGGUUCAGUUGGGUUGCUGAUAAAUUCAAACAACGAAAUUUAGACGCGAAUGCUUUUAAUUGAUUUGAAGAGAAGUUUCUGAGCUAGUUUAUUGCUUUUGAAUGUUCAAAUUGGAUCCUAUAAAUGUGUCUGUGUGAUAAUUAGAUGAUUUGUUGCUUGCAGUAUGGAAGCACGAGAGAAUUCCAUAUAUGUGAUGAUGCCAGUUGAUGCCUUUUGCAUUGAUGGUACAGGGCGUCCAAGGAUUAGGAAGUAAGGUCAUCUCCAACCGAAGGGUCCAGAGGGCCAGAGGGCCGAAAAUAGCCCUAAAACCGUCUCCAACCGAGGGCUAGGCCAGAGGGCUCUGGAAUCUGGGAGGGCCCCACGGGAUCGGAGAGGGCUGGAGGGCUGGCUGCUUUCGGCCAGCCAGCCAGCCCCGGGCUGGCUUAUUUUUUUUUUAAUAGUUCUACUAUUAGUGUCGGUUAUAACCGACACUAAUAGUUUGAAUGUUUUUUAAUACAACGGCUAGUAGCCGUUGUAUUAUUAGGCCUUUUUUUUUUUUUUUUUUUUUUUAACUUUUUAUUUUCCCUUUUUUUUUCCUUUUCAUAUUAAUCAAAUUUUGUUUCAUAUUUUUUUUCAAUUCUAUUUUACAAAAUUUGUUUCAAUUUUUUUUUAAAUUCUAUUUUUUUCCUAUAACUUCUAUUUUACAAAAUUUGAUUCAUAUUUUAUUUCCUAUAACUUCUAUUUUACAAAAUUUGAUUCAAAAUUUGUUGACGUCACCUAGCCGUUAGAUUUGAAUUUAAAUUGUAGUUUUUAAAUAAUAAAUUAUGUUUGGCCCUAUGGCCCUUUGGCCCUCGGUUGGAGACGGUUUUUUGUGACAGGGCUAAAACGAGCCCUCUGGCCCUCUGGCCCUCGGUUGGAGACGGAGGCAAAUAUGGCCAUGUACUGUUUAUUAAAAUAUUAAUAUCUUGGAGAAUCUUGGAGGGCCAGAGGGCUAAAACGAGCCCUCUGGCCAGUCAUCGGUUGGAGAUGGCCUAAGUUUUAUUAUGACUUUAUGUUGAUGAGGCUAUGAUGCAUUUUCAUUCUUAAUUUAAUUGUUGUACUCUUUUAAACGACAGAAUAUGAUUAGCUACAAGGUUGCAGCUAACUAUUUUGAUCUGUUCCCAAUUCAAGUUAUGUACGCGUACAUUUCAAAAUGGUUCUAAAUAAAAUUUAUUUUUAAUUUAGUUUCCUUUCAAGUGAGACAGAAUCUCCUUAUAUAUUGCACGAUUUAUUGUUGUUUCAGAAUCAAGGCCUUAACUGUAGCUCUGAAAGCACUCAAGUUGGCUGGUGUCCACGGAAUUGCAGUUGAGGUUUGGUGGCCUCUUGCAUAUGAUUGGUCUCUAUAUGAAGGGCUUUUCAAACUGAUUUCUGACUCAGGUUUGAAGUUGCAUGUUGCCUUGUCUUUUCACUCAAACGUUAACUCUUCUUCUAGCAGAAAAGGGGGUGUAACUCUUCCGCUUUGGAUCAUAGAGGUUUGUUUUCUCGGCAAUUUUGAAAUCCCAUUUGACUGUUUGGCCUUUUAUUGGUAAAAGUGCACAUGGCUGUACUGGAAUGAUUAAUUUACCCAGUCAUACUCUUUUGUGACAACAUAAGAAACAUAACCCAUUUGGAUGACUAGAGAUAGUAUCAACUUUUCUUCAGUUUCCUGCUCUGCAACAUGCUAUGGUCCUGUGUUCCCCAUUAGCAUACUUGAUUUUAGCUUUGAUGUGCAUAAAAAGUUUAUCUUUGCAAAGGGAUGUAACAGAAAAAUGAUAGUUUGGCCUUCAUUACAUGCCCAUCAGUUUGAAUCCUGAAUUUAGAUAAAGAAGUUGACCUCUUCUGUUUUUUUUUUCCUCCCAGAUUGGUGAUCAGAAUAAGCAUAUAUAUUAUCGGGACCAAAAUGGAUUUUCCAAUGAUGAUUAUCUUACACUUGGAGUUGACCAUGUUCCUCUCUUUUGCGGCCGGACUGCUCUCCAAUGUUAUGAAGAUUUCUUGUCAGGUUUUGCUAAGAAAUUUGAAUCCUUAAUUGGAACUGUGAUAGAAGAAAUUGGUGUUGGUCUUGGAUGUUACUGUUACACUAGAACCACAAGUAUGAAGCCAGUCCAAUGAUUUCUUAUGCAACAUUGUUACAUUGCUCACACUGAUAUCCUGCACAUCCUUUUGGUGAUGGUAGAUGGAAGUUUCCUGGAAUCGGUGAAUUCUAAUGCUAUGACAAGCGCAUGUAUGCUAAAAAUCUUUCAUUCCUGUGACAGAAAUUUGGUUGCUAUUGAACUUUUCCUAUUUACAACGUUGUUCCUUUUAGGAUGGGCGACCUAAAGAUGGCUGUAGGCAAGGAAGGAAAGCCUCAGUGGGGAGGGAAGGGACCACAAAAUGCUGGCUGUUACAACAGUCUCCCAUCUGAAGUUCCAUUCUUUGAAGAGGGAGAGGAAAGCAUUCUUUCUGAUUAUGGGUGUUUUUUCCUUGUAUGAAACUGAUGGAAGCAUCUUGCUUUAUUAUUUCCCAUGAAAAAUUUCUGCAUAACUGAAGCCUAGUGUAAAUUGCAUGAAAUCAUUGUUUGUAUUUCAUCCUCGAACUACCACAUUGUUUCUUUAGCCAGGAAACACUUCUGUGUACGUGCCUGUAAACAACAUGGGCCUGCAAUAUAUAUUUUCAAUCUUUAGUGGAACUUUUCUUAUAACUAACUCUAUUUGCUUCUAGGGGUUAUACUUGCAGACUGUUUGCUACUGGAGUCUUAAAUACUCUUACGCAACAUGAUUAAAAGUAGAUGCAAUUUGAUUAAGAAUGAAAUGCAUUGAUGCUUGUCUUCUGGAAAGAAAAAAAAAUCAUCAUAGGAUGUACUGGUUAGUAAACUAAGGACAAUUAUGGAUGUAUAAGUGGAAAUUUAAAUCAUGUAUGGUUCUUUAUCAUGCAAUACUUGGCAUAACAUAAUUAAACUUAUUGGAAAACAAUGUGGAGCUUAGGAGAUCUGACAGUGGCUUGACUUGUUGUAGGAAUGGUACAGUGGUCGGUUGCUCCAUCAUGCAGAUGAUAUUCUUGCAAAGGCAGCUAACAUUCUGAAGAAAUAUCAAGAAUAGAAGCAAACUUCUAUUCUAUUGGCAGCUAAAAUUGGUGGUACCAGAUGAGAGCACAGCCUGCUGAAUUGACAGCUUGAAACUACAGCAGUGCUCUUAAAGAUGGUUAUGAUCAUGUUGCUUCAAUUUUGUCUCGUCAUGGAGCUGCUUUGCAUGUUUCGUAAGAUUCCAAGUUUUAAGGUUCUGACUAGAAUUUUGUUCAUUGUCUAACCUGAUAAUUAGGGUUGCUUACACAUUCGCUUGAUUUCAAAUGUAUCUAUCUACCAUGUUCACGUACUAAAUAUUUUAUUGCAGCAGCUUAGAAAUGAUGGAUGGUGAUAACCCGGCAUCCUAUCUUUGCAGUCCAGAAGGAUUACUCCAACAGGUACGGGGCCUGUUAAUUAAUAACACUUCCUUAGCUUGUGCUUUGUUGGUACUUUUUUUAACUUACUUUAGAAAUUUUAUCUGUAUAAUUCAAGCUUUUAAGUUAGGUAGGACUAACCCAUGUAGCUGUGCUUGUCACAGCAGGUCGUGCAGGGUCUCUAGGUUCAACAUGGGCUUGGAACGGGCCAAUAUGAGCUUUUUCAGUAUUACAGAUAUUAGGUAUUGUUGAUAUGUUUUUUAGGCUUCUUUUAGUGUCUUAUAAUUCAUUCUGAAGUAAAUCUUUAGUUUUAAUUGGGUUGUCUUGCCCAGAUAAUAAAGAAGAAACAUAUGACAAGUUGAUCAAUAACCAUUUUUCUGUUUUAUUGAAGUUUGGAAUAUAAUUGAUAAUUUGAUAUUACUAAACAACAAAAAUAGAAUUGCAUCACUAUACCGUAUAUUAGUGUCGUACUACUUUAGAUUGGCAUGGUCUGUCCAUUUACACUGGUGGGUGGUGGUAGUGCCUAGUGGUGGCUUCUGUUGUCUAGAAUUCUAUCGGUCAUUUGGUUUCUUCGAUAAAAUGUCUGACCUUAUGCUUUGUUUAUUGGGUAUAUAUCAUAUUAUACAAUUCCAAUGUAGUCUAACAUGAUUCGAUUUGCACCAGAUAUGGAGUGUUUCAAAGAAAUGGGCACAUUUGAUCGGGAGAAAUACCAAUGAAGGAUUUGACAGGGUCAGUUCUUCCUUUGCUCAAGAACAAAAGCAAAUUUCAGCUACCAUUUAUUUCUAUUAGACAUAUAUUGGAGACUUGGGAGCAGCCUCUCCAUAAAUGGAGAUAAGGUUAGCCGACAUUCACCUCUCCCAGACCCUGCGUAAAGCGGGAGCCUUGUGCACUGGGUACGACCUUAGACAUAUAUUGGAUAUUGCAAAUGUCUUAUAACUAGAAACACAUGGCUUCUGAUAGCGUUAGUUAAACACUUCUUCUUUUGCCCAUUCUGUGUUGCGCGUUCACGCGUCUGCUUUUCUCUUGCACGUUGGUUUAUGGCAAAUACAUACUAACUAUUACCAUUCCCAGGCCGAAGCUGUAAGAUCAUUUACAUAUUUCAGAAUGAAUGAUAAGAUCUUUAGGGCUGAAAAUUGGAGUAAUUUCCUUCCUUUUGUUAAAAAGAUGAGCACAAAUUGGUGAAGCAACCAAAAAACCCAACUUAAAUACUAAAUUUAUUGAUCUAGAGUAGCAGCCUCACUACCCUAUAAUUUUUUGUCAAGGGCAUGUGUAGAAGUUAAGAAGUUUGUCACUUCCUGAUAUAUUGACUGAAAUAACUUUGUGUUUCCAUGGCAGGCGUUCUUGACCUGGAAGUGUAAAUUUUUGAAACGGAUUUGGUUGGCCGUAGAAACUAAAUGCUUUACUAUCAAAAUACGAGAAGAAUAAUUGGAAUUGCAAUCUUGGUACUACUGGUCACAUUGCCUAGUCAAAUACAGGUACAACAUUUCAAUUUAAGGAAUAUACACAUACUGUCAUAUCCGUCACUAUACGAAAAUAAUGUAGUCUUUGCAGAUCGAAAACAACAAUAAGAAAAUGGAUCCGAAAAUAUAGAGAACAAAAAGAACUAAGAGUUCACUCCUUCACAGUCCUUCAAAUACUUAGUCUUGAUUUUGGUGAGUGUGAUUGCAGCAUCUUCUUCACAGUCCUUCAAAAACUUAGUCUUGAUUUUGGUGAGUGUGAUUGCAGCAUCUUUCAUGUUAAUCCUCUCUCCCGGCAAUGCUGCAGUACAAGCUAAAGCUAAUCUCAUAACGGAUGAUAAGCAAUCCCUCUUGCUCACAAAAUCACCAUCUUCCUCCGCCCCAAGUAUAUCGGCAUCCACAACUUCACCUAUUGCAGCAUCUGGAAAUAAUGAAUCUGCAAUCCAUUGCUUUAAAUUCAUUUCCCCAACAAACAUCUCAUCCGUUGGCUUCCUUUUUGUGAAUGUCUCCAUGAGUACAAUACCAAAACUAUACACAUCCCCUCUUGUCGAAACGCUUCCUUCCAUCCCAAACUCUGCAAAAUUUGUAUGUGAAUUUAGUUAUAUAUGAUAAAAAGAAAAUUAUAACUCCUAAUAAGACCAACAUAUACAAAAUUGAGAAAAUACAUCACCUGGAGCCAUAUAUCCAACUGUGGCUAGGGUCAUGGUUUCUGUCAUCGAAUGUCCACCGCCGAUGAGUCUUGCAAUGCCAAAAUCAGCAACAUGUGCAACCAUAUCAUCAUCUAGUAGUAUAUUGCUUGGUUUCACAUCACAAUGAACAAUAGGUACCGAGUAACCAUGAUGAAGAUAUUCCAGUGCCAAUGCAACAUCUUUCAUUACGUCCAGCCUCUGCAGGAUAUUCAUGGAGCUGUUUGGAGAAUACAACCAGUUUUCGAGGCUUCCAUUAGGCAUCAAUUGAAGUAUCAGGGCUUUGAAAUCAAGUUCAUCGCAGCAACUUAUGAUUUUAAUAAGAUUCCGGUGACGGAUAUUGCUUAGCAUUUCACAUUCCCUAUCAAAACUUUUGAAUGCCCCUUCUACCUGUAAAUUGAAAACCUUGACGGCAAUGUCUAUCCCGUAUGAAAGUGUUCCUCUGUAUACUGAGCCAAAACCCCCCGUGCCUAGUAAGUUACUCUCGUGAAAUCCAUUUGUCGCAUUUACAAGUUCUAGGCGCGAAACUCUUCUCCAAAGAACUUGAUGUAGCGAGGCAGUUUCUCUUACAACUUCGACAUUCCUUUUGUUGCAUAGUAUCAGAAUCAAUGCAGCGGCCGCUAGGAGUAUUACUGGUAUGACCCCUGAGAUGAUAUAUUUAGCUUUCCUCCAAUUUGGCUUAACUUUUGUUCUAUUUUUGCACAGGGGAACAUGGAGUCGGGAAGCACCGCAGAGCGCACCGUUGGAUACAAAUGAAUCGGCAGAGAAGUUUCCGAAAGGCCCGCCGGUUGGAAUUUCUCCUUGGAGUUUGUUGAAAGACAAAUUCAGAUGCUUGAGAUACAAGAGUGCUUCCAAUGACUUUGGGAUCUCUCCAGAUAGAUUAUUUUGGGACAAAUCCAAGAAUUCUAGGCUUAGCAAGGUUUUAAAUGAACUGGGAAUAGGGCCUUGUAAAUAAUUGUUUGCCAAGGACAAAUUAAUCAUAUUUUGAAGACCACCAAUGCUACCGGGAAUGUUUCCGGAGAAGUGGUUAUUUGAUAAAUCUAUAUCCACCACUUCUUUCAACUUUCCGAUGUCUUCUGAGAGUGGUCCAACUAGAGAAUUGGAUGACAAGUUUAGGUGCAAUACAUACUUGAGUUCCCACAAGGAAGAUGGUAUUUUUGAAGUUAACAAAUUGGACUCUAACGAUAGAUUUCUUAGAGCUACUGCCAAACCACCCAAGCAGGAAGGAAUAGAACCAGAGAGCCGAUUAUGACCCAAACCUAACUCGGCUAGGUUGGUUAGUUGACAGAGUUCAUACGGGAUAUGUCCUUGCAGUUUGUUAUCAUACAGAAACAAACCUUGGAGAUUUUUUAGCCUCUGUAUUGAUGUUGGAAUUGCUCCACUCAACUGAUUGAUUUCCAGAUGUAGUUCUAUCAAGCUGCUCAAGUUGGCAAUAUCAACGGGAAUGUUACCCCUGAUGUUGGAAAUGCUUAAAUCAAAAUAUGUGAGUGGCGUAGAGAGAUUCCCACGAAAAGCUGGAAUCGUGGUGUUUAAUGGAUUACCUCCCAAGUCUAAUUUUGUCAAAUUUCUAAGAUUAAACAAGCAAGAGAGAGUAGAAGCAUCAAUCGUCAAAUGAUUCCAGAACAAGAAAAGAAGCUCGAGGUUUUUCAAGGAACAGAGCGUGCUAGGAAGAAACCCGGUAAAUGAGUUUGUGUCCAUGGCUAGGACCCUGAGCUUGGAAGCAUUGGAGAAGUUAGGGAGUGUCCCGGCCACGAGGUUAUUGGAGGAUACAGAAAAGAAUUCUAGGUUUGGAACAUUAAGACCUAUGUUUGCUGGGAGGCCACCUGAGAGCUGAUUUAAAGUAAGCGAUAUUACUCUAAUCAUGGAGUUAUUGAAGAGCUUGGAUGGGAUGACACCAUUGAGAUUAUUAGCACCCAAUCUCAAAACCUCUAACUGCGGAAGAUCACCAAUCUCAUCCGGUAUUGUACCUAUCACAAUGUCAGCACGUUUGCAUUAACUUUGUAACUUCGGUUUAUCUAAAAACUAAAAACGAAAUGAUUGUAAAACGCCCCCAAAUUUAUUACCUGUUAAAUUAUUGAAACGAAGAAAAAUCUCGGUUAAGUAGGUCAAAUUGCCAAGACUUUUGGGUAUGCUCCCACGGAAAUUGUUAGACUCUAAUGCAAUUACACGAAGCUCUUUGCAUUGCCACAGUUUGGAGGGAAUCAGACCGUCAAACUGGUUUUGAUUCAAAGAAAAUCGUUGAAUACUCGAAAGAUGCUCACACAUAUUGUCCGGAAGAAUACCACUCAUGUUGUUUCCGGAUAAAGCCAAAGUAGUCAAAGAAGAUAUGUUAAGGACAGGCACAAAAGCAGAGCCUUUAGGGCAUUGUCCUGCACAAACAACUCCUCCAACUGACCUAAACUGCCUAUCUCGUUCGGAAGUUCUAUAAAAUCAAUCCGUGUAUAUUGUUAAAAUCAUGUAUACAUAUAUAGGAGCAGCUUCUUAUUGGGAAUCCCGUUGUACCAUAGCAAAAGUGGGAUACAUUCUAAGGACCAUGUACUCACCAUAUAGGACCUCUUUUUUGCUCUAGAAUACGAGGGUCUUACACGGUCAAUAUACGAUCCUACAAUAGUCCUCUCAUCUCAUUUUUUGCCGAAGUUGAACAAGAUCCCAGCUAAGAAGGGGCUUGUGUUUAUGUGUGUGUGUGUGUGUUUGUAUAUAUAUGUAACAAAACCUCAGUCAUACAGUAUACCUUCGAACUUGUUGUCGUCAAGGUAUAUGCCCUUCACCAUUGUUAAGUUGCCUAUUUCUCUGGGUAUACUACCUGUUAAAUAUGUGCAUGCAUUCCAACAAAAAAGAAGGAAAAAAAAAAACAAACGAGAUGAUUGUUAUACAUCUUAUAUAUAGAGGUUAAAAUGAAACAAAGAUGUUAAAAUGUAAUGAUGAAGCAAGCAACAUUAAUUUAUAUUCCUAGGUAGUUGGUAAUGGUGGUAUGUACGUACCCGAUAGUUGGUUCCUCAUCAGGUAAAUGUUUUCGAGUGCAGAUAAGUUGAAGAUAGCAGCGGGUAUGAAACCAGAGAAGUCAUUAUCGUACAAUUUGAUGGUUUGAAGUUUAGCAAAGGACCCAAACCACAAAGGAAUGGUUCCCAUAAAGCUGUUGUUUCCAAAGUUAAUCGCCUUCAACCGGCGCAAACGAGACAGUUCUUGCGGUAGGGGACCAUGAAAACUAUUAUUCUGAAGGCCCAACUCAACGAGAAAUGAGAGGUUGCCAAGAUGCGGAGGAAUAACUCCGGCAAGACCCAUGUAAGGGAGAUUUAAGGCCGUGACUCUGUGGUGGCGAGCACCGCAGGUAACGCCAACCCAGUUGCAAAUGUUGGAAUUGGAGGCAGAGGACCAGUUGGCGGUCAAGAUGUUUUGAGGGUCACUAGUGAUGUGAGCCUUGAGAGCAAGAAGCGCAGAUUGAUCUGUGCUGAAAUUGGUAUGAGCUAUUGCUAAUGCUCCUGCAGUUAAGUAAUUAGCCACAAUCAUCAUAUAGAUAUAACACAAGCAUUGUAUCAUCGACAACAUCUUUGAUAGUAGGAAACGACUUCUCUCCUUAAUUGUAGUAGUUUUCGUCUUUCGGUAUAAAUUCGAUCGAAAACUAGAACUCAUUACAUUCACAUAAAUAGGGAAACAAGUUGGUGUUACCAAGACUUGUGAACGACUUUUGUACUGGUUUGAUACUGAGGUGCUUUUAUAAAAAAUGGGUAUAAAAAAAAAAGAUGAGCUCAAAAAGGUGUUUGGUAAACACUUAAAAACAGUUUAUUUUCACAGUUUUGGGUGAAAAAAAAUUAAAAGCGUGAAGCAGCAAAAAUAAGCUUAUUCUCACAGCACAACAUAAACAGUUUUUUUUUUCAAAGCACAGCAAUACCAAACCAGCCCUUAGACUUGCCCGGCUUCUAUGUCAAGGUGAGGAGACUUUAGAUUUUUUAACAUAUCAAACACACACCAUUCAUUUUUUGCUGAUGGCGUAGGUAGGUGAGGAGGAAUGGUGACUGCGAUGUAAGAGAGAUUCAAGGCCACGACUUGAAUGUGGCAUACCAACCCAGUUGCAACUUUCAAGUGAGCAAUCAAUGCUAAGGAUGUUUUGGUCUGUGGUGGUGAUAUUUGGUAAUUCGCUGAUAGGUUAGCUAGGUGAGGAGGUCUAGUCUAAGUCCGACUUUUUUGUCGAAGUGAGGACUUAGAAUAGUGGAACGAAGGCUUGUGAUUUGGUAAUUGGUGCUGCCAGCCGACGAGUUCUGUCCAUUUUGUGGGCAUAGCUGGAGAUGCCCAAAUGUGGAAUUUUAGUCUUCAGUUCACCAUCAAAACAAACAAUACCAUAAAUUUCAAGAUUGAUAUUUAAUGAUGACAUACAUUUUGAUUCAAAUGCAAAUGCAAAUGCGACCAAACACAUGACAGUUACAUUCUUCCGGAUGAAAUGUUUUCGACGACGUUUACAUAUAAUCAAGCUCUAGUUGAACACUCUUCGGAUUCGAAAAUCAUCUAAACUUGGCUAAUUAGUCAAGAAUUACGGUCUUAUGCUUCUAAAUUAUUAAUCACGAUCGCAUGUAUAAAUUCAUUGCAGCAAUAACGAAGAAGGGAAGUAACAACCAGAGAUUGAAAACUAGUUCAGAUACGUACAUUCACUAUCAUGCAGACUUGCCAUUGGAGACAGCUCUGAAUAUGCAAAGGUUUUUUAUAGGAAAAAUUAGUAUCCGGUCCCUAGUUCUUACUGUUCAUUGAUUAAGACCUUAUUAGUUCUCAAAUUUUGAUUCAAGUCCCUAGCAAUAAUGUGAUAAUGAAUUUACAUGUUUAUUAUAUAAUUUUUUAAUAUAAAAAUUAGUAAUUAAUUUAGGGUUUAAUACUCACACCUCUAUUAAACUUCUAAUUAAUUUUCAAUUCAAACAUUUCCAAAAUAAUAAAAAAUUAAAUUAAAUUAAGUUUGUACCUAUUACUUUAUAUAUAUAUAUAUAUAUAUAUAUAUAAAGAUUCUCAAUUUUUUAAUCUUAAAUGUACCCAUUCAUAUAAUUUUUCAAUUUUUUUAAUCUUAAAUGUACCCAUUCUCAAAUACAUCAAUUUGUUAUAUGUAAAAUGUACCCUUUUUUUUAAUAUAAAAUCCAUUCAAAUUUUUUAAUCCAUGUUUAAACUUAUAUGGGUACAUUCUUUUUCGUUGAUUUGAGAAUGUAUCCAUGUUUUGAUACAAUAACUUUUUUUGUUAAUUUUGGUUAAUGUACCCAUACAUAUAUGUACACACACAAUAUAAUAGAGGGUAUAAUUUAUAUUUUAUUAUUUUUAAUCCCAUAAAUUAUGGGUUUUAUUUAAAAUCUCAUUAAUAUAAACAAUUACAAAUUUCAAUUUUUAAUUUUUAAUUUAAAACAUAUAGUAACUUACAUUAUUAUAUUAAUGUCAGGACCUCAAUCAAAAACUAAAAACUAACAAGGUUUCAAUUAAAAAAUAUUGAUAGCUAGGGAACGCAUCCAAAGUGUCCAUUUUUUAUAUGACUUCAACAAGAGAGGACAUACCAUGCUUAGAGAUGAAGCAGGCCUGCACCUGCAAGCCACGGUGGUAAUCGAAUUCCAGUGAAAGGGAACAAAACUCCAGCCGCCACCGGCAUGCUGAGGAUAUUGUAGCCCAGGGCCCAGACAUAAUUCAAUCGAAUUUGAGACAUGGUCUUUCUAGAGAGAUCAAUGGCUGUAACUACAUCUUCCAAGUUGCUCUUCCUCAGAACUAUAAGCAGCUUCUAUAACUACGUCGGUGCCCGCACCAAUUGCCAUACCAACAUGUCCUGCAACCAUUGCCGGAGAGUCAUUAAUUCAAUCUCCCAUCAUUGCCACCACCAUUCCUUUCAUCUGCAUCCAAAUCCACUUUAACAAGUCAGAAAACACUAUGUAAGAUAGAUAACUCACAUAUCAAGUCAGAAACAAACUUAAUAUAGAAAAAUGAGUUUGAAGAUUGUUUGCAAGGUUUAGCAAGGUUUUAAAUGAAAUAGGAAUAGGGCCUUCUAAAUGAUUGUUUGCCAAGGAGAAAUCAAUCAUAUUCUGAAGACCCCCAAUGCCACCGGGAAUGCUUCCGGAGAAAUGGUUAUUUGAUAAAUCCAUAUCCACCACAUCCUUCAACUUUCCGAUGUCUUCUGAGAGUGGUCCAACCAGAGAAUUGGAUGACAAGUUUAGGUGCAAUAUAUACUUGAGUUCCCACAAGGAAGAUGGUAUUUUAGAAGUUAACAAAUUGGACCCUAACGGUAGAAAUCUUAGAGCUACUGCCGAAGUACCCAAGCAGGAAGGAAUAGAACCAGAGAGCCGAUUACCAUCCAAACGUAACUCGGCUAGGUUGUUUAGUUGACAGAGUUCAUACGGGAUAUGUCCUCCCAGUUCGUUAUCAUACAAAUACAAACCUUGGAGAUUUUUUAGCCUUUGUAUUGAAGUUGGAAUUGCUCCACUCAACUGAUUGUUUCCCAGGCUUAAUGAUAUCAAGCUGCUCAAGUUGCCAAUAUCAACUGGAAUGUUACCCCUGAUGUUCGAAUUUCUUAAAUUAACAUAUAGGAGUGACGUAGAGAGAUUCCCACGAGAAGCUGGAAUCAUGGUGUUUAGUGGAUUUCCUGCCAAGUAUAAUCUUGUCAAAUUUCUAAGAUUAAACAAGCAAGAGAGAGUGCUUGCUGCUUAUGGAGUAGAAGCAUGAAUUGUCAAAUUAUUCGAGUGCAGGUUUUUCAGGGAACAUAGCGUGGUAGGAAGAAUCCCGGUAAAUGAGUUUGUGUUCAUGUCUAGCUUCCAGAGCUUGGAAGCAUUGGAGAGGUUAGGGAGUAUUCCAGCCACGAGGUUACUUCUGGCUACAUAAAGGAUUUCUAGGUUUGGACCGUUAAGAGUCUUAACUUAAGACCGCUGUUUGCUGGGAGGCUACUUGAGAGCUGAUUGAAAGAACGCCCUAUUUCUCUUAUCAUGCAGAGAUUGAAGAGUUUGGAUGGGAUGACGCCACUGAGAUUAUUAAUAACAAGUCCCAAAAUCUCUAACUACGGAAGAUUACCAAUAUCAUCCGGUAUUGUAUCUGUUAUAAUUUCAGCACAUUUGCAUUAAAUUUUUAACUUCAAUUUAACUAAAAACUAAAAGCGAAAUGAUUAUCAAACAAUCCUAAAUUUACUACCUAUUAAAUUAUUGUCAUUAAGAUAAAUCUUGGUUAAGUAGGUCAAAUUGCCAAGACUUUUGGGUAUGCUUCCAAGGAAAUUGUUAGACCCUAAUAAGAUUUCACAAAGCUCUUUGCAUUGCCACAGUUUGGAGGGAAUAAGACCGUCAAACUGGUUUCGACCCAAAUUAAAUCGUCGAAUACUCAGAAGAUGCUCACAUAUAUUUUUCGGAAGACUGCCACUAAUAUUGUUUCCAUAUGGAGCCAAAGUAGUCAAAGAAGAUAUGUUGAGGACAGGCACAAUAGCAGAGCCUUUUAGGGCAUUGGACUGCGCAUACAACUCCUCCAGCUGAUCUAAACUACCCAUCUCGUUUGGAAAUUCUAUAAAUCAAUCAGUAUAUAUUGUUAAAAUCAUGUAAACAUAUAUAGGAGUUGCUUCUUAUUAGGAAUCCUGUUCUACCGUAGCAAAAGUGGGAUAAUAUUAUAAGGACCAUGUACAACUAUAUAGGUUCUCUUUUUGCUCCAGCAUACGAGGGUCUUACAUAGUAAAUAUACGAUCCCUAUGAUAGUCCUCUUAUUGUAUUUUUGCUAAAGUGGAACGAGAUUCCUGCUAAGAAGGGGCUCGUAUCUAAACUACUUACUACCUCAAUCAAAACUACAUGAAAUUACAAUUUUAACACCCAAACCAAAACUGCACAAAAAUAAAAAAAACUAUGGGUAAUUUAGUAAGGGCUGUGCUAUCCACACACCCCAUUUUACUUCUCACACACCCCUUGAUAAUUUAUGUAUGUUGAUAUUCUUCAAUUGAUUCGAUCCGACGGCCGAAAAUUAAAAAGGUUUGUGAGAAGUAAAAUGGGAUGUGUGCAUAUCACACCCCUUUAGUAAUUACAUGAACAUAACUUUUGUUGUUAUUUAGGGCAACCUCACAGCUAGGUCACCAUAGCAUGCCAUAUUUAAAAAUUAAAAAUAAAAUAAAAUAGUAAAUAAAAAACAUGCCUACUUUAGAAGAAACUGCUCAUCAUUUUCCCAAUUUUUAUAAGGGGUGUGCUAUCCACACAUUUUUUUACUUCUUACACAUUCCUUGUUAAUUUAUGUCCGUUGAUCUUCUUCAUUUUAUCCGAUACUACGGCUGAAGAUUAGAAGGGUGUGUGAAAAGUAAAAAGGGUGUGUGGAUAUCACACCCCUUUUUUUAUAAUUGAUUUAUUGUUUUAGAAUUUUAAAAACUAAUCACACUACUUAGUAAAAAAAACAAAAUGAAAUGAAAUUAUACAAAACCUAAGUCAUACAGUAUACCUUCGAACUUCUUGUCGUCAAGGUUUAUGCAAUUCACCAUUGUUAAGUUGCCUAUUUCUCUGGGUAUGCUACCUGUUAAAUAUGUGCAUGGAUUCCAACAAAAAAGAAGGCAAAAAAAACGAAGGAGAUGAUUGUUAUACAUCUUAUAUAUAGAUGUUAAAAUGUAAUCAUGAAGCAAGCAACAUUAAUUUAUAUUCCUAGCUGUUGGUAAUGGUGGUACGUACGUACCUGAUAGUUGGUUCGUGCUCAAACUAAUCAUUUCGAGUGCAGAUAAGUUGAAGAUAGCAGCGGGUAUGAAACCAGAGAAGCCAUUACCGUACAAUUUGAUGGUUUGAAGUUUAGGAAAGGACCCAAAUCACGAAGGAAUGGUUCCCAUAAAGCUGUUGUUUCCAAAGUUAAUUGCCUUCAACCGGCGCAAACGAGACAGUUCUUGCGGUAGGGAACCAUGAAAGCUAUUAUUCUUAAGGCCUAACUCAACGAGAAAUGAGUGGUUGCCUAGAUGCGGAGGAAUAACUCCGGCAAGACCCAUGUGCGAGAGAUUUAAGGCCGUUACUCUGUGGUGGCGAGCACCGCAGCUAACGCCAACCCAGUUGCAAAUGUCGGAAUUGAAGGCAAACGACCAGUUGGCGGUCAAGAUGUUUUGAGGGUCACUAGUGAUGUGAGCCUUGAGAGCAAGAAGCACAGACUGAUCUGUGCUGAAAUUGGUAUGAGAUAUUGCUAAUGCACCUGCAGUUAAGUAAUUAGCCAUAAUCAUCAUAUAGAUAUAACAUAAACAGUGUAUCAUCGACAACAUUUUUGAUGGUAGGAACCGACUUCUCUCCUUAAUUGUAGUAGUUUUCGUCUUUCGGUUUAAAUUCGAUCGAAAACUAGAGCUCAUUACAUUCACAUAAAUAGGGAAACGAGUUGGUGUUACCAAGACUUGUGAACGACAUAGACUUGCCCGGCGUCUAUGUCAAGGUGAGGAGACUUAGACUAGUCGAACGAAGACGAGUGGCAAGGAACACCUACCAUUCAUUUUUUGGAUUUUUUAACAUAUCAAACACACACCAUUCAUUUUUUACUGAUAGCUUGAAGGUGGCGUACGCCGUAAGCAACACCUACCAAUUGCAACUUGGAAGUGAGCAACGAGUGGUAAGGAUGUUUUGGUCUGUGGUGGUGAUAUUUGGUAAUUGGUGCUGCUAGCCGACGAGUUCUGUCCAUUUUGUGGUCACGGCUGGAGAUGCCCAAAUGUGGAAUUUUAGUCUUCAGUUCACCAUCAAAACAAACAACACCAUAAAUUUCAAGAUUGAUAUUUAAUGAUGACAUACAUUUUGAUUCAAAUGCAAAUGCAAAUGCGACCAAACACAUAACAGUUACAUUCUUCCGGAUGAAAUAUCUUUGCCGACAUUUACAUAUAAUCAAGCUCUAGUUGAACACUCUUCGGAUUCGAAAAUCAUCUAAACUUGGCUAAUCAGUUUUUUCUGAACAGAACAAACCAAAGAUGAUACGCAAACGGUCCAAGAAUUACGGUCUUAUGCUUCUAAAUUAUUAAUCAUGAUCGCAUGCAGACUUGCUAUUGGAGACGCUCUGAAUAUGCAAAGGCUUCUUAUAUGACUGCAACAAGAGAGAACAUACCACGCUUAGAGAUGAAGCAGGCAUGCACCUGCAAGCCAUGGUGGUAAUCGAAUUCCAGUGAAAGGGAACAAAACUCCAGCCGCCACCGGCAUGCUGAGGAUAUUGUAGCCCAGGGCGACAUAAUUCAAUCGAAUUCGAGACAUGGUCUUUCUAGAGAGAUCAAUGGCUGUAACUACAUCUUCCAAGUUGCUCUUCCUCAGAACUAUAAGCAGCUUAUAUAGCUAUGUCGGUGCCAGCACCAAUUGCCAUGCCAACAUCUCCUGCAACCAUAGCCGGAGGGUCAUUAAUUCCAUCUCCCAUCAUUGCCACCGCCAUUCCUUUCAUCUGCAUCCAAAUCGACUUUAACAAGUCAGAAAACACUAUGUUAGAUAACUCACAUAUCAAGUCAGAUACAAACUUAAUAUAGAAAAAUGUGUUUGAAGAUUUCUAUAAGACAUUAUUUUACCCUAGAUAAGUCAUUUGAAAUAUAAUUUAGUAAUCCUCAAUCUGCGUUCAAAACCAGAACAAAAUUACUUGUGGAGCUGGGUAAUUGUAAUCCACUCACACCACCCCUGUAACUAUUAUAUAAUCGUAACUGUAAUUCUUUGAUUCUAUCAGCUUUUCAUAGUGGAUCCGUCUCAGCACACCUUAUCAAUGCCAACCUCCAUCGCACUGGCUGCCGCUGUAGCCCAGUUAUCACCAGUAACCAUGAUGCUUGUAAUGUUUAUCGAGUGAAGAUAAGAGAUGACUCGUGCAGCCUCUGGCUUCACUGGGUCAGUUACAGCAAAAGACCCAGCAAUCUUUCCAUCAAUGGACACCAACACACACCUUCGAGCCAGAUUAUCAUGUUCUGAAACAUACUUGUCAACCUCAGGACCAACCUGGACAUUAUUUUCCCGCAUGAGCCUCAGCAAUCACCAUUUACCUACAUAUUUCUCAAAUAGAGGCAUGUUAGCAUGAUUGACAAAAUAAUAACAAUAAGUUGUCUCAUCUGUAACUUUACAAACUUCAAACUUUUCAUGAACAAAUUUGAAACAUAAGCACCAACCUCUGUGACAAUAGACACAGCACAGAACUCCUCCAUUGAGUAAUUGGAGAAGAGCACAGCAUUGACUACUACGGGUUUCCCAACUGUCUCUCUGGUUGAGGCUGCAUUCAUUUUGACACAUGGGAAGGGCUUACUCUCCUAGUGGCUCGGCUUGGUCUCGCUCCCUUCCCGCACUAUUCCUCCCCACUAAAAAGAUUUGAUAAUCUCAAUAACGUUCAGAAAGGUUAUUGAGAUAAAUCGAUGAAAUCUUUCAAGCCAGCAUGGGGCAAAAGCUAUCAAAACGGGUGAUUGGGGAAGGAGAGAUAGGUCCAUUCACGAACACUAUUGGUCCCUGUUUCAUAAAAAAACAACCGUUUUCACUGGCAGGGAUCAAACACGUCCGUAAACAUCCAGACACCAACAAGGUGUCAAAUACUAAGAAACGUAUCAACCUUCAUGAAUUAGGUACCGUCUGUUCAGCUUUUAAUUUUGGAAAGAACAAAAACCCCAAAAAGGACGAAACAAUUAUUAGCCUUGUUAUAAAAAAGGGAGUUGGGGUAAAGAGAACUCUCCUUCAAUGAGAGCUGUCAUCUACAAGAAAUGGGGAUAUAAAACUUGGCGAGUACGGCUUGGUGACAUGGACAAGGUGCAUACAGCCAUCAAUCGUCCAGAACCAAAGGGUCAUAUGAGACAGAUUCCAACUAUGAAAUAAUAGUUGCAUGUUCAAUCCCAAUAUAUGCAGGAAGAACAUCCUCCAUACCCAAUGACAUAGAUUGCAUUUAGUUUUAUGUCACGAGCCUAAACGUUGAUCGAACCAAGGCAGAGCGUUUAACUGGUCAGGAAUGAAGUCCAUAACUUGUUCUCAUACGGAACACUAACAUAAUGUAGGGUGGUAGUAUAGGGGAUAGUAUGAAAUGACCAGAACAAUAUGAGGAGAGCAACUUCAUAAUGGAGGAAUGACGAGAAAAAAAAAACUACACUUGCACCCUCAAGACAUAUAGAGAAUGUAUCUAAUCAGAAAUUGGUUUUUCCUAAACCACAACAAACAGGUUUUCGACGUCCUCAAAGGAAAUGUAGGAACAAGUAUAAUGAAGCAACUAAACACACCAGCAAAAACAACAUGAAAAUAAAAUGCAUGAAAACCAGAUUCUAAAUUAAAAAAGAAAUUUGUUUCCAAGGAUAAGGUGGUCUUACCUUAUAAGCCUUUUCAAGUACACUAGCAAAAAUGCCCGCACUCCGCUGCGGGGACUUCUAGAAGUAUGAUCUUGUACCAUUUGAUUUCUUUUGCCAUUCCUAGUUCUUUUUGGCAUCAUGUGCAAAACCAAAUUGAUAGAUAAAAAAAGGUCGUACCCAGUGCACAAGGCUCCCGCUUUACGCAGGGUCUGGGAGAGGUGAAUGUCGGCUAGCCUUACCCCCAUUUAUGGAGAGGGCUGCUCCCAAGUCUCGAACCCGAGACCUACCGCUCAUGGGCGAAGGCACUUGCCAUCACACCAAGUGCGACCUCUUUAUUAUAAUUAAGUAAAAAAAUGAUAGGUAGGAAGAAAAAAAUGAAAACACCUGCAUAAAUUCAAUUUUCCAUCACCCCUAUAUUAUAAUUAAAUAAAGCAAAACAUAAUAAUCAUCUCACAAUUACAGAAGCAAGGACUUUCAAAUGCCCCAAUUAGUUAACAGCCACUAUGCAUAAUUCUGAAAAAAUGAGUAUAAAAUUAACCUCUUUUGAAAAACGAAGGAAGAAAGAUGAAACCUUAAGCCAAGGAAUAUAACUAUGUUGAACUCAAUUAUUUGACAUUAAUUACACAAACCCAAUUCCAUAUAUAUAGCCAGACAGAAGCUUUAUCCUAGAGAGAAACCAUGCCCAAAUGAUUAUAAUUCAGAGCAUAAAAGGGAAGUGAGUUCCUUGGUUCCCACAUUGUAGAGACUAAAUCUCAAAACUUUGCCAAGCAUUACAGGAAACCAUGGAAAGAAUAAAAAUGACCACAAAGAUUGCAAAACAAUUAACCACAGGUGGUGUUUAUAUGCCCACUGAGAGAAAAGAGCUUGUGCAAGUGAAAAAACGUAUUUAUAUAAAACAGGCAUGCACCAUCUGAAAGAGCCUCUUGUAUCCAUUCCAAUUAUACUUAUGUCUACCAUAUCCCUCUACAAUUCCCCACCACCAAUCAACCAUAACUGAUUUCAAUACCCUUAGCUGCUUUAGUAGACCAUCUAGUGACACCAACUGCCACCAAAAUAAAAGACACGAUCAAGACCAUACAAAUUACAGACUAAGCUUAAAAACAACGGUUAUCUAUUAAGCAAAACUUGGAACUCCUUGACAUGGCAACCUCUUAAUCCAGGAUGUAGAGUAGAAAAGCAAAAUUAUUGACAAACCGAAAAAUAACAAUUUAACUUGCAUAGUAAACGAAUAUUAGUAAAGUUACAUAACUCAAUGGAUUACAUAAAUCUGUAAAAAAGCGAAACAUCAGUGUUUGGGAAGUUACCUUAUUUGAAAUGUCAGGAGCAUCUGGUGUACAUACAGGGUAGACAGUCCUUGCAAAAUUCAGGGCUUCAAAAUAAAAUAAAAUAAUAAAUUCAAAAGAAAUCAAAACUAUUAAUCCUAACAACUGUUUAGUAAAGGAUAAAACAAUCUUUCCAUCAAGCAAAUUUGAGAAACAAGUAAUGAAUGGAAUAACCCAAUUUCUAUCGCCAAUCACCCUUGCUGAGUGAUGAUUCACAUACUUCCUCAUAUUUGUUUAUGGGUUCCUGUCCAACAAAAUUUCGACUUAGUACCCAAAAACUGUAUCAGCUCACAAACACACAGAGGUUUAUCAAAUUCAAAGCAAAACCCACAUAUAUUCUCAAGAUUCUAGAGUUAAAAGAGGAGCAAGGAGGUUCGGUUAAGGAACCCAAAACGCUAUUUUAAUGAGCAAAUGAAUAUCUAAACUGGGGUUAACAAGUUUCAGCAAUAAAAAACAUGUCUUUCGAACGAAGUUGCAUAAAUUACAGAACUUUGGGAUUAAGGAGGAACAAAAAGCCCAAAUUCCAAUCAAGAAAAAAAAAAUGUAUGUAAAUUUAAGCUUUACCUGUAGAUUGGCAGCAGCAAAACAUACUGGAUCCAACGGGAGCCACGUGUGAGAACUGGAUGCCCAGCCUUUGACACGUUAUUGAGUGAGUUUAGGGAUCUGGGUUUUGUGUUUGCCGUUGAAUUUUGGAAUGAUCUGGAGAAAUUUGGGUUUUAGGGUUCUAAGGAUUUGAGUGAACUGAAAUUGAUUUGGAUGAGCAACUUUUAGUUUCGAUUCGCGGUGGAGCAAGGAUGAAGAGGUGGAGGAGGAAGGAAUGAAAGACUUAACUUCUAAAGUUUCAAGUGCUCAAGGAAGAAAAUAUCGGUAAUAUCGGAAAUAUCGGUAGUCUGAAAACAUGGAAAUAUCGAUGGAAAUAUCGGGAUAAUAUCGAUAUCGAUAAAAAUUACAUGGAAACCACGGAAAUUGUAAGAAAAACUUGGAAAUUUUUAUUGAAACUUUGCAGGAUGUUUAUUUAGUCAAUUAUCUAUUUGUUUAUCACAAAAAAUUGGAAGGAAAGGCAUUACAUGAUGGAUUUAACAUUAUCAAGUUGAUUAUAUAACGAGCUGACAAACAUUGUGAGUGUAGAAAAUAUGUAGAAAUUAAUGAAAGAAGUCUAAACACACCAUAAUCAUUUAUAUAUAAUGAAUUAGUACAAUAUUUUACACUUUAUACAUUGCAUGGUAAGAUACAUGAGUGACUUAGUACCACAUAGAGUUCCUAUGAGGUUCAAAAUUUUCACUAUCUUCAUCAUCUCUAUGUGUAGAGUGAGUGUAUUUUAAAGAGUAGUUAGCAACCAUGGCAAUGGUUUUCAAGAACCAAAACCCAAAAGUCAAUAGGAAACCGAAUACUUCGGUAUUUUUCGGGAUUACCAAACAAAUGGGAUUUGGAAACCAAUCCCAUAUCGAAAAUUUCGGUAUUUUUCGGGAUGGGAUUCCCGAACUUCAGGAUGGUUUUGGUUUGGGAUUUUUCGGUUUGGGUUUGGGACUUUUUCAAUUUGGUUUGGGAUUUUCCGGAAUUUUUUCCAGCCCUACCAUGUAAGUGACCAAAUAAAAAAUAGAAAAAUUAAAAACCACAUGCCAUUGACUAAGUAAUUAAUUGAUACAAUUUAAAAUAUAAUACCACAAAAAAUUUGGAAUAUGUGCAAAUUUGUUUCUUGUAAAAAGAAUUCAAAACAAAACCAUAUAUAUAAAUAUUGUAGCAUAUUAUCACAACAUCAUAAGUGGUAUAGUGGUUAAGGCGUUAAGGAGGUAAACUCGAGGAGUUCGAACCCUUCUAUGCUCAAAAUUGAGACUUUUCCAAAUUUUCAGGAAUUUUUUGACUAAUAUCGCGAUAUUUUGACGAAAACUCAUUGGAUACUCAUUAAAAUAUCGGUAACUCAAAAAAACGAAAAUAUCGGCGAAAUAUCGUCGAUAUUUUGGAUAUUUUCUUCCAUGCAAGUGCUCAACAAAUUUCGAUCAAUGUAUGUUUCAAUACUUCAAAAAAAGGGACAUGCAUCAAAGACUUUUAGGUGGAAAAAAAUAUGCAUUGGCUGAUGGAGAUAAUUAGGAUUUAAAAUGUUAAAAAUUUUCUUUUUGGCUCACUAAUUAGAUGCAAAAGUGAGACUGUGUGAACAAUUUUACACCCAGAAACAUGAACUACACAGAAUCACAACUGAUCGAACAAUGAGAAAGUAUAUAAGACAAUACACUAUCAAUAGGCUAAAACACUCUUUUAAUUGAUCUAACAAUAGGCUAAAACACUCUUUUAAUUGAUCUAACAAUAGGCUAAUAGGAUUAACUAAACCAUUAGAGACUGCAACAAUGAGAAAGUCUGAAGAUUAAAGUUCUAGUUGAAUAUCUUUGAACCCCUAGGUGUUGGAAACACUUUCAGUAAAUUUGUUCAGGAAAAUAUAGAAACUCAUGAUGCAAUUCCAUCGUCUGGGAUAGCACAUAUUUACCUGGAAUCCAACAUUAAGCUAACAUUUUUCAUAAGUUUAUUCUUUUUGUUAACUACACUGGAAUUUAUAAAACAAUUUUAGAAAAACUCGAGUCUAGAUAAUGAACUUUUGUUCCAGUUUAAAAAAUUUUGACUUGUGUUCUAAGCAACAUAAUGUAUUCACAUUUCAAUUGUGAAAGGCAGCAAUAAUCCCCGACUGAAGAUAUUAAAAAUCAGAACUUCUUCUCCAAGUUUUCAUUUAGUUUAUUUCACUUGUCCAUCGGAAUUUUAUGCAAAGAAGAUUAAAUAAAGACAAUAGCAUGCCAAAGAUUAAAACCCCUCAUUUCAAACUCUGCUAAUGCACAACUCUGUUUGGUUUUCUUCCCAGAGACCAGACUGAGUGAGGAGUCAAGUUCUCCAAUGCACCAACAAUCUCCCGUUCGAGCAGCCAUCACCACCUCACUUGCCACUCCGGCGAGGCACCACCUUGCCACCACCCUCAUGUCUCACUCCCUUUCUACCACUCUCCUUAUUUCCCUCACCUCUUUCUCUCGAUACUGUGCUCGCUGCACAGAAACAGCAAGGCAACCACCGUCGCCUUUUUUCACAGCGAACUACACCGUAACGAAACCAUCACCAUUAAUCUCGCUACCUAGGCGAGUUUUACCACCCUCUGCAAACUGCCUUCAUGCCUUCUAAUUUCAAUUCUUGCAUUUCUUGUAUGGUAUCCAUGUCUUGCACAUUCAAAUACUUAUAUACCGACUGAGAAUAACAAUAUAAAUCCCACACCCACCUCUUUUUCCCCACUUGAAAAAUCACCUAAAAACAACAUUAACCACCAUAGUUUAAGAAUCCAAACAUGGCUCCAAAUUUCAAUCUAAUUAAUUAAAUUACAGAGGAUUCUACCUACCUCAUGAAAACAAAUAUGUUCAGUUAAAGAAAUUCCCUAAUCAUUGCAGUGCAUCUUAAACUACUUCUUAACUAUGUCAGCCAUACCAAUCUAAUAAAAAAUCCAUGUUUCAAUCGAUUCUUAUUAAUUCCAACUCCAAGUAUUUCAGCAUCUAGAUUAUAGAAAAAUCAUAACAAAACAAAACUCAAUCUUGGUGCUAAAGCACACUUCGUUAACCUCACCUUCAUCAAGUCCAUGAUUCCUGCCAUGAGAUCUUUCUCUUAAUCCAGACUUGGCUUCAGAUGCAAGAUCAAAAUAACGAAGCAUUCAGUUCCAUUUCUACGCACAGCAAAUUAAAAAUUGAAAUAUGUUAUAAUUUACUCGGAAUCUUCAUAAGUAUCAUGAAAGCAUAUAAACAGAUACAUUUGAAAACUGAUAAAGCUACCUAAUUAAGUUGAAAAGUCGCUAAUUAAGAUCAAGUGCCAGUGCAUCCAGUGAGCCUUCCAAGGAAAGAUGGCCCCAUGGACUUAGACCUUGAAAACUAAGGCUUGUUUUGCCUUGUAAUUGUAUGAUCAGUAGCAUUCUUAUGGAUUGUAAUUGUAUGAUCAGUAGUAUCUGAAAGAUAUGAUUUCUGAAACUCAACUCAAUGAUUUGAGUGAGCCAAUUAGUAUUGAUAUAUAUAGCAUUACAAAGUAGACAUGUAGUAGAAUAUAGAAAGUUCAAUUACAAGCAGUAUCGGAAACAAAUUACUAAUCAAACUAGAACUCGGCUGCUGCUCAAGUAUCUGUAUAGGAAUGAACAUCUUGAGCGGAGAAUGAUGGAACAUCCUUGUUCUUGUGGGAGACUGGUUUAUCACUCCCCCGCAAACUGACAGGGAGGCCACGAACUGGUAGUUUGGAGAGCAUAAAAGUAAAGCGGGCAGCAGAGAGACCUUUAGUAAGAAGAUCAGCCAGCUGGUCAACAGAGGAGACAUAACCAAUAGUGAGUUCAUUGCGAGUGACCUUUUCCCGAACAUAAUGAUAGUCCACCUCCACAUGUCGCAUGCGUUGUUGAUAGACGGGAUUAGAGGCUACAGAAAUGGCACUGAUGUUGUCGCACCAGAUGCGGGGAGGAGCAAGCGGGAGAUGAAGCUCUCGAAAUAAGGUGCGAUACCAAGAGAGCGCCGUAGCAGUGAACGCAAGCUGGUGGUAUUCAGCUUCGGUGCUGGAGCGAGAGACACCUCGUUGUUUCUUGGAGCUCCAGGAAAUAAGGUUAUCACCAAGGAAAAUACAAUAGCCACCAGUAGAACGACGGUCGUCAGGAUCGCCGGCAUAGUCCGCAUCAACAUAGGCAGUGAGGUGAAGGGGACUCGGUUUGUAAACAAUGCCAUGAUUCGGAGUCGCUUUAAGGUAACGGAGGAUGCGUUUAACAGCAACCUAAUGGAUUGUGGUUGGCCGAUGCAUGAACUGGCAAACCUGAUUUACAGCAAAGGCGAUAUCAGGACGAGUGAAAAGAAGAUAUUGCAAGGCCUCUACAACACUUCGGAAUUCUGUAAGAUCAGACAAUAGUUCUCCAUCUGAUAAGAUGAGGCGUCGACCAGGAAUAGUGGGGGCCGAAAUAGGCUUGCAGUCCAGCAUAUUAGUACGUUUAAGAAGAUCAGUGAUAUAUUUUGCUUGAGUAAGAUGAAGGCCGGCAGCAGUAUGAUGAACUUCCAUUCCUAAUAAGUAAUGAAGGGGGCCAAGAUCCUUCAUGGAAAAAAGAACGCCCAGCUGUUGAAUUAAGCGAGCAAUAUGAUCCGUGCUAUUACCAGUAAUAAGGAUGUCAUCCACGUAUAUUAACAAGUAAAGGAUGACAGAGCCAUCAAAGAAAGUAAACAAUGAAGAGUCGACAUGAGAAGAAACAAACCCCAAAUGUUCCAAGUGUUGGGAAAAGCAUUGGAACCAUGCACGAGGAGCUUGUUUAAGGCCAUAUAGAGACCGUUGUAAUUUGCACACAUGAAUGGGACGUUGAGAAUCAACAAAUCCUGGAGGUUGGCGCAUAUAGACAUCUUCAUUUAGAGAACCAUGAAGGAAAGCGUUUUGGAUAUCGAGUUGCUGAAACGGCCAAUUGUAGUGAAUAACAAUGGAGAGAAUCAGCCGAAUGGUGGCAUGAUUGACGACGGGGCUGAACGUCUCACCAUAGUCCAAACCUUCUUGUUGAUGAAACCCAUUGACGACUAACCGUGCUUUGUAUCGUUCGAUGGAACCAUCAGAGCGCCGCUUGAUUUUGUAGACCCAUUUGUUGGGGAGAACGUUCAUAGUGUGGUGGAAUGGGACUAAGGUCCAGGUACCAUUGCGUUGUAAUGCAGUAAACUCGUCAGCCAUGGCUUUGCGCCAUUCAGUGUGUUUGUGUGCCUGACUAAAACAGGUAGGCUCAACCAAAUCAUCAGAAAAAGUAGUAACAAAAACAUAUUUGGGAUUAGGUUUUCGAACACCAACUUUGCUGCGAGUAACCAUGGAGUGAGACCGAUCACUUACCUCGGGAGUAGAUGAAACGGAUGCAGCGGGGGCAACAGGUGGUAGGUUUGCUCCAGGGGCUGACGGAUGGGUAGGAGUUAUGGGGAAAGCAGGUUGGGGGGAAGAAGCUGUGGGGGAUAAAGGAGAGGCAGAUGUGUCCGGCGGGAAACGGGUAGGGCGAGAGGGCCUACGAGUAUAAACUUGAAGGGGGCGUUGGGUAGGGUGUGAUGGUAGGGUUGAGGGAAUGGAAGAGGAAGGCUGCGGGAUGGAGGGUGUGGGGGCACCAUGAGAUGGUGAUGGUCCGAUGGUGAGUACUGGAUCCACAGACGAGGAAAGCAAUGAAGGCGAUGGAACAAUGGACUCUUUAUAUGGAAAGGUGUGCUCAUCAAACACGACAUGGCGAGACAGAAAUACACGACCUGUGGAGGGAUCUAAGCAGCGAUAACCAAGAUGGUUUAGAGAAUAACCCAAGAAAACACAGCGUUUGGAACGAAAUUGCAGUUUGUUAGUAUUAUAUGGACGUAAAUACGGAAAACAGGCACACCCAAAAACUUUAAAAAACUUAUAUUGAGGAGGUUUGUGAAACAGUUUUUCAAACGGGGAGAUAUUGUGUAAAAGGCGAGUGGGUAAACGGUUAAUAAUGUAAUUGGAAGUAUGAAAGGAUUCGGUCCAAAAGGGAGUAGACAGACCGGAUUGAGCUAAAAGAGUAAGGCCAGUUUGAACGAUGUGGCGGUGUUUACGUUCCGCCACACCAUUUUGUUCCGGAUGAUGAGGGUAGGUAAGACGAUGUAAGAUGCCAUGGUGAUUUAAGAAUGUUCGAAAACUAUGAUUAACAAAUUCACCUCCACCAUCCGUUUGGAAAGCUUUAAUCUUAACACUGAACAUGUUUUCAACGAGGUUUUUAAAAGUGACGAAAGUAGAGAAAACAUCAGAUUUUAAUCGGAGUGGAUACAACCAAGUAUAACGAGAAUAAUCGUCCACAAAAAUCACAUAAUACUUAUAACCAGAAAUGGAGAGAGAGGGAGACAUCCAAACAUCACAGUGAAUUAAUUCUAAAGGUGAAGCAGCCAUGGAGGAAGAUAAAGAAAAUGGCAAUUUAUGACUUUUACCUAAAGGACAAAAUUGACAAAACUUACUAGAAAUUGAGCCUUUAAUUGGCAAUUUAUUUGCAGACACUAAAUGUUGUAAAAUGGAAAACGAAACAUGACCUAACCUAGAAUGCCACAAGGCAUCCGAGACACGUUCACCAACACAAGCAAAAACACCAGAAGGUUGAUGAGAGGAAUGGGAAGGAUAGAGUCCAUUGUUACUAGGGCCUUGGAAAAGGAUCUUCCCCGUCCGCGAAUCCUGCACACGAUAAAAACGAGGGUGGAUAGUAAAGAAACAGUCAUUAUCAGCAGCAAAACGAUUUAAAGAUAUGAUAUUAGUGGAAGCAUGAGGGCAGUAGAGAGUAUUCAGUAAUAAAAAAAAAGCGAGUUUAGUGUGAAGAAACGAAUCACCAAUUUUGGAGAUGUGCAAACCUGAACCACCAUGAAUAACACCAAUCUGAUCAGUUCCAUGAUACUCACGAGGAUUAGAAAGCUGACCCACAUCAUUGGUUAUGUGGGAAUUGGCGCCAGAGUCAAAGAGCCAUGGUUGAGCAGGCGAGGCAGAAGGAGCAUGAGGGACACCACGGGACUGAGGUGCAGCCGCAUAAGCCUGAAGAUGAGACGAAGGAACCCUGCCUUCAUAGGACAUGUUGAGACGAUUGUAACAAUCAAUAGCGGAGUGACCAUAACGCUGACAAAUCUGGCACUGAAUACGACCAGAUGGGGAGAACGCAGGGGCAGGAGAGAAGCCACCUGAAGCAGGAGCAGGGCUGAGGAUGCCAUUGGAGGAAGCAGGCUGUCCACGGGAGGAAGCGGCUGGCGAAGAAGAAUGGGAAAAAUCACCAUGAUAGUUGCGAGAGGAACCAGAACCACGAGCGUAGCCGCCACCACAACCACCCCGAAACGCGCCGCCACGGCCGUGAGACGUACCACGGCCACCACGCACAGCAGCAAACGCAGAAGUACCGACGUCAGAGGGAAGAAAGAAAGCAGUGUGACGUUGUUCGGCGCUAAGAAGUAAAGAUUCCAAGGCAGUGUAAGUGAUGGGAGUAUCACGGGCUUGGGCAGAAGCAACGGUGGUCUCAAACUGUGGUCUCAAACUGAGGACCAACCUUACUCAUAAUAAUGGCAACCAAGUCUGAUUUAGAAACUGGGGCGCCAGAGAUGGCAAAGUUGUCGGCAAGAAUAUUCACCUUGUCGAGAUAGUCGGCAAUAGAGAGAUCACCACGAGAGGUAUUCAUCAAUUCUGUUCGCAUUUGAAUAAUACGGUUCUGAGAGGUAGAGGCAUAGCGUUCCUGAAGAGACAACCAAGCAGAGGCCGAAUCAAUUUUGUUGACAAUAGUAGCAAGGACCUUGGGAGUAAGAGAACUAGUAAUCCAAGAGAGGAUCAUCUGAUCAGUUUGGAUCCAGUCAAGAUACGACGGAUUGACGGUGUCGGUAAUGGUACCCUUGUCAUCAGAAAGAAAAGCAGAAGGGCAUUUAUGUUCACCAGUAACAAAGGAGAGAAGGUUGCGGCUGCGCAGCAAGGGAAGAAACUGAGCACGCCAUAGGGGAUAGUUGUUGCGAUCGAGUUUUAUGGUAAGAAAAUUCGUAACUGAGGGAGCAGCAGCAGUAAAGGUAGAAGAAGAGGACGCCAUACUGGGAAGAGAACGGAGAGAGAAAAAAAUAAAAAAAAUAAAAAUUAAACGAUGAACCGUUGUCGUAAGACGCUGGCUCGUGAUACCAUGAAAGAUAUGAUUUCUGAAACUCAACUCAAUGAUUUGAGUGAGCCAAUUAGUAUUGAUAUAUAUAGCAUUACAAAGUAGACAUGUAGUAGAAUACAGAAAGUUCAAUUACAAGCAGUAUCGGAAACAAACUACUAAUCAAACUAGAACUCGGCUGCUGCUCAAGUAUCUGUAUAGGAAUGAACAUCCUGAGCGGAGAAGGAUGGAACAUCCUUGUUCUUGUGGGAGACUGGUUUAUCAGUAUCCUUAUGGAUUCCCAGAUGAAUCCUCAAAAUUUUGUUCUCAUCCGUUAGCUUAUGCACAUAGGACAAAAGCGGUUCAAUUGUUUCACACUUCUCAUUGUUUCUCCUUAUCAACUCAGCUCAUUGCUGCAUAUUUCGUCCAUGAGUUCCAAGAUCUUUUCAUGCAACAUUUUAUCUUUUUCAACCAUAUUACCAUCAGAUUCUACCCCAUGAUCAAUACUCUCUUUUUCCAUAUAUUCUUCAAAAGUACACAAACCAACCUUUUUUAGGAUAGACCAGCAUUUGUUUGUUUUGAUGGCACUGAAUUUUGUUUCCGUUUUCUCUUUUGUGGUAGUCUGAUAAAGAUGCACUCCAAAAAAUAAUUUGAGUGCCUAUACAGAUGAACAUCGCAUAAAAAUCAAAAAAUCAAAAAUCAAAAACAGCAGCAGAGAUAAAAAAAAAUGACAAUAAUUCUAAAAAAAUUUAAAUAAAAAACAGGAACCUCUGUGAGUUAAUUUUUUGGGCAAAAAAAAUUCUAUUAAUGCAUUCUCAUACAAAAAAUUUCUUUAAAUACUGAUUUCAUGCAAUCUAGGAGCUAAGUGCUUAAAUCAGAAAAUUUUCUUUAACCCAGAUACUCUUGUACUGCAGUGCAGCAAAGUUUUUCUUGAACCCUGACGAAUAUUGCUCUAAAAAUAUCCCAAAUAUAUCUCAGAGAUUGCAGAGAUUCAGACAAUCAAUAAUGGGACAACCGGAAUGUUCCUUGUUCGUUUGUCCUCCAUACUCUACCCUAAUCUUCUUAGGAUUUUAGUUAAACAACUUGCUCCUGUAACAGCUAUAUUAAAGCAUAAAUAUUCAUGAACACUCAUCACCAAUAGCAAAAAGGCACAAAGUAUUUUUACAGAAAUCUAAAGAUCCCUUUUGUGUCCCAAACCCAGGUCUGUCCACUAUUUGCCUUCCUCCUUCAGGGCAUAAUUAGAGAUACCCGCCAACAGUAUAACCAAAAAAAUUGCAGUGAGAUUUUAAAAUACGAACUUUAUUUGAUAUUGCAAUGAAAUAUAACAAAAUGUACAAAAAUUGUUAUUUUGGUAAACAAAUAGACAGUGGAAUAACAGAAGAAGCCGAACCCAGAAAAAAUAAAAACACAGAAUCACAGUAGAAGAAGCAAACCCAAGAAAAUACAGAAAAUAAAACAAAAAGGGUGCAACUUUUAUUGACGGGUGAAUGAGUAGACAAUAAAAAAAAUGCAAACUUUGAGUUCAAAACAAACCUUGUACCGUUUGAAAUUUGAGACUUGGAGUCGCCCACGGGAAGGGUUUUAUGAGAAGACAGUAUUAGGCGUGCUGAAGUUAGUUUAUGCUUUUAGUUGUAAAUUCACAUCUAAUACUGGUUGAACACAAAUUUCAGCAAAUACACAGAAGAAAUAGCAAGAAUUGAUUUCAGAAUUGGGAAAAAAUUAAAUUAAAAAUAGAAAACAAAGGGUCGAAAAGCUGCAUACCUAAACACCAUUUCAUAUCUUUUUAUCCUCUUCGAGUACCGAUCGAUUCCAUAGAGAGGGAGAGAGGAGGGAGACGACGAAGGGGAGAGGAGGGAGAGGAAGGCGAGAGGAGGAGAACGACUGAGGCGAUUUACUGUCUGUGUGGUUCUCGCGGGGACUGCGAGGUGAACUAGGAGAGGAAUGACCAGGUGGCUCUGGGCUUGAGGUCAGAGAGAAAAUGAGAGACCUAAACGGCUAGGGUUGGAAAUGAGAAUCUGGGCUCAGGGGCACAGAAGAUUUGGAAAUGAUUUUUACCUUUCAAUUUGGAAAUGAUUUUUGCUGACCACUGCUAUGUUCUGUGAUUUCUUCGAUCACAAGAAAUCAAGUUGGUCUCAAAUUGUAACCGUUUGGGUUCAAUUUGCGAUUUACAGCUUUUAAGUAGUAUUUUAUUUUACUAGUUUCUCUGUUAAUGCCAAGUGGCAAGUGACACAUGCGUAGUAUUUUAUUUUACUAGUUUCUCUGAGUAUGAACCUGUAAACUUGGUUAUAGGAUUAGAGAUUGAAUACGAAGUCUUGUUGAGAAUGGAUUUAUGAAUCCAUAUUGUAACUGAACUACUAUUUAAAAGAAAUUGGUUUUCUGUAUGGAUUUUAAUAGAGAAUUUCUUAUAGAAUUUGGCUAGGAUUAUGUAGUAUAUAUAUGAUGGCCUCUGUUCUCACAGUGUGUGUACUCUACUCAGAACUAAUACCUAUUAUUAGUUGAGAACCUUGAACACUGAAGAGAAGAGAAGGUGCACUGCAGGAUUCUUGUAGAAAAUCGAGCAUGGCGUCCAGUUCCGGUUCAUCUGCAGGUACGGUUUUCUCCGUACAUUGGUUUAAUGAACAAUGAUUUGUGUUUUGAUAACAGUAGCUCAUAUAACUUGUUAUUGGUUUAUGUUUAUUCUAACAUUCAAGUCAUUGACCCUUGAAGAAGGGGCUAGCAAAUCAGCUUAUGCCAUCUGGGAGUCAUCAAUUGGAACGUACAUUCGUGAUAUCUAAACAAUAAAACAUUUGACCAAUAAAAGAAAGAUCCAAACAAAGACUUGUCCAGCACUCAAAAUUUCCCACUAUAUAAAACCCAUUGAGCUCUUCCAUUUCCUCACACUUCCGAUCACAAAAACUUCACUAUAUUAAAUUGAGAAGAAAAAAAUGAGCCAAACAGCAGGUAGGCUAAUGAAGCCUGGUUUAGCGUUUGUGUUUGGGACCAUGUUUGGAGCUUUCAUCACCAGAGCUAGUCUGCACCGUUGCCACCACCGCUUUCACGACCACGAAGGUGAUCGGAAGCAUUGGCCUUGUCCUCGCCAAGCUCAGGAUAAAAAGAUUGGUUCAAGCCCAGGAGGGCUGGAAACUACAACCACUAGAAACAUGGAAAACUAGCCCCAUGCUUGCGACAACGACUUAUAUAACAUAGUUACACCAUUACGAUGGUUCUAUUCUAAUGAAAUAAAGACAUGGGUAAACUUUUGUCUACAUAUCCUUAUUUCAUUGACAUAAAAUACUAUGUAGUAGUGUAGCUGUGCCAUCUAAGUUGUUUUCCAUGCAUGCAUCGUGCAUGGUCCAAGUUCAAAAAUCAGCCCAGCUGGCUAGCUUUGCUUCUAAUUUUAUAUGCUUCUGUUGUAUUACAUGAGUAGUAUGUAUUUGGGUUUUUAUCAGAAAUCAGCCCAGCUAGGUAGUUUGAUUUGUUGGCCGAUUGUUUCGGUUCUUUUUUGGCUUUUCUUAUUGUUUAGCGUGCAAAUUGGUUUGUUAAUGAAACUUAGUGAGGAAAUGAAGUCAUCAUGGUUUGUAAUUUUCAAAUGAUGAUUUUUUUUUUUUUAUAAUUUUUCUAGCAAAUACUGUGAGAAUUUUGGUUAUCCUAAAUCACAUUUAGCACUCUAAACACACAACUUAUUGUCGGCUGAAAUUAUAAUUAAGGUAUUUUAAAGAAUUGACUGGUAUUAGCACUUGCUUAUGUGCCAAAGAGCAAAUUAAGAGCGUUUAUCCCUACAUUUGAGACUAACUUGACAAAGAUUUGGGUCACUAAAGAUGCCUCCUCCCAUCAUGAAAAGUGAAAACCAAUAUAUUCGAGGUAAUGCUAGGGAAACUAAAUUUGUAGACAAAAUUUACAAACUAAAUGAUGUGUCGUCAACGUCCAACUUUAAUAUAUAAAGGAAAUUUGCCCAAAAACAGUGCCAAAUUAAUCAAGACUAAAUUUUUACAUUACAGUUUAAGAGACCCUAAAACGUUUCCGAAAACUGCAAAGCACCACAGGAUUAUGCCAGCAUCCAACUAAUUAAUCGACGGUUCAGCUUCUCUAUGUUUAGUUGAUGAAGUAGCCAACCAAGAUGCCCAGAAGACCGAACAGCACCACAAACAACAACGAAAAUCCGCCACCGCCGUUUUUGCUAAUUUCUUUUCUCAACACAUCCUGCUCAAAUUCAAAAUUUUCUCUUAUUGCCAAAAGGAAAUAAACGAAAACAAACAUGAAAAUGAACUCCGAUAAAGGGGAACUGAAGCAUCAAACACCCAACAAUACAAAUAGAAACAACAGUUCAUAAAAAGGAGAUUGACAGCUGAUGAAGUUAAACGGGGAUACAUACUAGUAGAACCGUUAGCAUAGGGACAAUCAAAAGCAUGAGGCUUGGAUAUACGUAAGAAACUAAGAAUUAAACAAAAGCUGAGCUGAUCUUCCUCCGUCAAUCAAGUCAGUGGAAUGCUCACAAAAUCCUUCACUCAAUCGAGUCAGUGACAACCUCCCUCAAUUUCCUCCCUCACCCUCUGCAACACUGGCACAUCCCUCACCUAUUCGCUCAAUCCCAUCGAACCCACACAACCCCAAACUCUCCCAAAAUAGAGAAUGACCAAAAUACCCAUGUCAAUAGGCAUUUCACGUUCAGGGCUUUAACCAUUUAUUGGACACCACCGAAGCCCACUUCGGACCCAAAUUCUAAUCAAUGGCAGAGAUGUAAAUAUUACGAAAUCAAAGGAAAUUCAUUGUAGCUUAGGAACAUACCCAUGUCGUACUACUUUAGAUUCGGAUGGUCUGUCUAUUCACACCGGUGGGUGGUGGUAGUGCCUAGUGGUGGCUUGCCGCCGUCUAUAAUGUCUAUAAUUCUAUCAGUCAAUUGGUUUCUUCUAUAAAAUGUGUGGCCUUAUGCUUUGUUUAUUGGAUAUUUAUAAUAUUAUACAAUUCCAAUUACUUUAGUCGGAAGAAGGAAAUCCAAUUGCACUGUUCAACUGAACAGUGUUUUGGACCGAAUUUCACUUUGUUUACAAAAAUUUCCACCACCCCUAUAUGUCGUUCAGAUAGAAAAUUUCAAUUUAUUUACGAAAUUGCCACCGUUUUACACAGGGGAAGGGCGCCCACGAGUCAAUCAUCUUGGAUUCUGCGUCGACUACUUUUCCGUUUCCAUCCCCUAUUAUUUCCCUUUCUCGACUCUGUUUCCGUAACCAUCCAUCAAAUACCCCGUCCCUCCUCCCUUAGAUCCCUCACCGAUUCUGUCUCUCGCCAUUCUCAGUCUCGCCAACCGCGAACCCCUUGACAGCUUGCAGCUCUAUGCUCCACCUCCAGAUUCGUCGCAUAUACCAGCCGAGACUGUCGUCAUCGUCACCCUAUGAACAAUUCCAUGCUCAGAAAUCAGAGAUGAGAGCCCCAAGACAGUCGCCUGCACCACCGUCUUAGAAAAGUGAGCCAAAAUCUCGCGAGAUUCAAGCCGCGCACGAGCGAAUCCGAAGGACAAACCUCCGAUAAAAAUUUCUCAUCCUCUCUCUUCAAUUUCAUAUUUGUUGUUAGAUUAAAAGGGAAAAAUAUGAGAACUAACUCGAGCAAAUGUUCUGGAUGUAAGCUAAAAGAUCAAUUUAGCUUUUCUUCCCUGUCAAUUUAGUGCUUUUUCUUUUCUUAUUACCUUUAGGAGUUAAUUUUUUGAGAUAUAAUAUGACUAACAAAUUUACUGUUGCCUCUGUCAUCUUUUUUGCUGAAGAUUUCUUUUUUAAAAAUUGUAUGCCAUGACAAAAUAAGGGUUGUAUUCAAUUGAAAAUUUGAGAGAUUUUAAUGAAUUUAUAAAUCCAUGAAUUUUUAUGGAGUUUAAUUGAUAUGUAGAGAUUUCAUAUAAAAUUUUGAUUCAAUUCUCUCAAAAUCUCAUGGGGAGAGGUGAGAUUUGUAGAUGCUUAAAAUACACUACGAAAUAUCUCAAAUUCCCUCUAAUUCCUCAACUUUCUCAAAUUCUUUAAAAUCAAUUUCUAAUUGAAUACACCUAGAAUGUUAUAAACUUUUUUAAAAUCCUAAUUGAAUACACCGGAUUUCUAAGGAUUUUAAUAAACUAUCUUAAAAUUAUAAUUGAAUACAUAUUGAAUUUCAGAGAAUCACUUAAAAAUCCUAAUUGAAUACCCCUAGAUUCAUAUAAAGAAUUAAAAUCCCUCAAAAUCCCAAUUGAAUACACCCCUAAAUUUACAAAUUGCUAAUUUUCUGUUUUGUAUAAAAUCUUUGUUCACUCUACCUGAACAGGUACACUUGACUGAUAAGGAAAGUCUUCAUAUUAAAUCCAUGUUAGCCUCUAUCGUGUUCUUUGUAUUUCGUUAUCUGAACUCUGUUAUUUGAAUUUGGUCACCUGAAUUGUGCCUAAUAUUUGAUGUGGCUAGUAGCCUUGUAUGGUUGGCUGGUGUGAUUUGGGAGUGCUUUUGGUCAAUGGGAGACAGGGGACACAGGUGUGGAGCAGCAAAGUCAAGUGGGAUUAGGAAUUUAGGAUGGUAGAAUUUUUGCUAAUUUAUGGGAUUAGAAGUCUUCCUUUAUUUUUGUCUUGGUGUGAUCAAUUGUAACAAAGAAUUUUCAUUAAAUUGAGGUAGUGAACCUACUAAUUUUCAUAUGUUGUUUGUCUACAGUCUUCUCCAUUCUCUUGGACCAAGCAUGAAAUCCCAAGCACUAUAUCACCACAAAGCAAGCAAGCUGAAAGCAAUCCAAAGAAACCCUUUUUCCAGAAGCACUUAACAAAACCUUUCUAUGGAUGAAUUGUUGUUUCAAUUAUACCAGAUUGAAAACAAGUAUGGAACCAUUGAUCAAGCAUACGGGGCUGUCGCCCAAACCUAUAUUAAGUGGGCAACAAGCAUGGUUGUGUCCUUAGAUACAGGUGUGCCCUGUUAAAUGUAAUCUUGUCUUGGCCCAAAAUAAUGGAUCCAGCCCAUGCACAAAGAAAGAUUCAUGCACAUGCUAGAGAAUUUUAGUAAAGUUCAAGUUGGUGGAAGAGUCUAGAAGAAUGAUGAAGAUUCCACCAACAUACAAGAUUAGUGUAGAUAAUACUAGCAUAGAAAGGUAGUGGAAUUAUCUAGAUAUAUCUAGCAUGAUGUUUCCAUGCUUCUCCAAGGUUCCAUCCAUGCCUAUAAAAGGAGGAGGCAUCCACACCAUUUGGAACAACCAAGAGAGCAAGUAGUGAGAAGUGAGAAGAAGCAACAAAGCUUCUAAGAGUGUUUGAGUGUUUCCUCUUGUACUAAGUUUGUUAGUGAAUAAAAAUCUUGUGUAAUACAUUGAGUGUACUUUCUUUCUCUUGCUUAUCAGUUCCGCUGCAUUACAUUAUUCUUUGUGAGAUAAACGUUUCCAAAGUAGUGAAGUCUUUUUAAGCCCCAAUAUGCCCUAGGUCAUGUGCCAACAAGACGAUGCUCCUGCAUCCGCGGUGAGGCUUUUGUAGUAUGUUUUCAUUUGUAUUGUAUUGUAUUGACUUUGACCUUUUUGAUCAACGUCCAAUAGCAGUAGGUGCAGUAAUUCUCAAACCCUAAUUUUAACUGUUUGGAUCAUUGCAGAUUUGGGUUAUUUAUUUAUUUAUUUUAAUUGCGUUGCUUCUACUUGCUGUAUAUUGGCUGAUGGAUUUCAGAGUAUUUUUUGUUUUGUGACUGGAUUUCGUUGUGUCGGAUUAGUUUGGUUUGCUAUGAUCGGUGAACCUUAUGUUAUUUUUUAUGGGUUUGGUUAACAUGGUUUUCAUUCCUUUUCAGAUUUGUUUCGACACACACUUCUCAAAAUUUGCGGGAUGCUAUGAUGAUAUUUUCUAUGAUGUAAACAAAUUAACUAUUUAAUGUCAAUAGUUUGUGUUAUAUAAAGCUACGCAUGUUAGGAGUAAAGUAAUUUAUUAUUUGUUCUUAGCCCCUGGUUUAUAAAUCCCAACUUUAAAAUUCCCAGUGGAUGUGUCUGUUAAUCGAUUGCGUUUGGGAUAGAAAUUUGUGUGUUUUAUUUAUUUAUUUAUUCGGGUUUUUGUAGCUGAUGCUGAUACAUAUUAGGUUUUGUGUUACUGGGUUUUAUCACUAAUUAAUUGUCAAUUGGAUUUUCCGGUUUCAAAAAUAGGUGAGGCGUCGACUAAUCAGCUGGCUGAUCAGCAGAUGCCAGUGUAUAAUCUUGCAUCGAAGAUUCUUUGUUGGGUUAUCAAUGUAUUAUUGAAGGUUGUGGUGGCUGAUCUGAUAAAGAAAACUAAGAAUUUUAGAUUUAAUUGUUUAGCUGCUUCUUUUCUACUCAAGUUAUUGGGCUUUGCAAGGGAAUAAUAUGUUUCUUUCUGCUGAAUUAUAGGCUGAACCAGACACUGAAGAAUUAUUUGCACAACUCACUUUACUUCCCAAAUCAAAUGUAAGUUGUUAGCUUGAGAAUUCUGAUUUAUUGUGGGCGGGUAAAAUUGAUUAUGGGUUGAGAUUCUGUUGGUUUGAUGUUCUUAUAAAUUUGAGCAAGAUGAGAAUGCAGUGGAGAAGGAAAUAACAUAGGCACGCGUCCUUAAAUGUGAAAAGACUUUGGUUAGGCAAAGCCAAAUUAAGGAAGAGAAGAAUAGGUAGAGGCUAAAACCUAAUCAAGUGGAAAUUUUAGGUAUAAAAUGUGCAGUGAGUCAAGAAAUUAUACAAUGGUGUCCAGCUGCUUUCCACCACGGCCACGUUAAACGGCUUAGUUCUUUUUCCAAGUGCAAGAAAUAAAUGGCACUUGAAUCAUAGAAAUAUUAACAUCUAUAUACUCAAAUGAAAAAAACUGCAUAUUUGAAAGGAAAAAACACACCAGCACACACUUGGAAAUAGCUGGAGAUAUUGGCAAACCUCACAAUGUAUAUGCAUGCUUUAGCGAUAUUUAUAAUGAGGAUAUUUAUAUUGGCAAACCUCACUUAUGCUCUGUACACAUUCUACUGUUUAAGUAAUGAACAAAACUAUUCUCAAUGUCUCUAGUUAUUCAUUUAUUAUCUUCAACGAUUUCGAAACCUGCUACUAUAGUUUACAGAAUGGUUAUGUCACACUCUGCUAUUCUUCCUGUCAGAAUCGGGAAGGUUUGCAUCUAUUCAAAUAAUGACUUCUAAAUUUUGUCUUUACAGGGAGGCUUGAUUGAUAGUGACGCUUUAACCCACAAGAGGAAUGUUAAUACCACAACGCAGUUCAAGUUGGGCCACUGGUGACUUUUCUGCUUAAAUGGAUUCAUCAACUCAAUUUUGUCGUUAAUUUUUGUUUUGAGUCCAUUUUCCUUGAUGAUGUUGUAUUAGGAUUUUAAGCUUAGUCGUUCAGGCGUGACACAUUUUCAGUGGGAAGUCACAAGCAUAAUUCAUUUUUCUUAAAUUAGACUCAAGAUUUUUAUGUGCAUUAUUCUUCUGUUUUACGAAUAUAAUUGGCUAAGCCUUAAUGAUAUUGUUGACGAAUCUUCACAAAAGGAUUUAAUUGCCUAAGCCUUAUAUGUUCAUCCGUUUUACGAAUUUAAUUGGCUAAGCCUUAUAUGUUCAUCUUUUGUGAGUAUUCAUUCUAGGAUUCUUCACAAAUUUCUGAGAAUUUCAUUUGAUCCAUACUAUGGCCGUUGAAAUGUUAGUACCUUUUUUAAAUUCAAUUUUUUUUAUUUACAGAAUUGUAUAAUCCUACAAGAAGAGAAGAGAACAUGUGAUCACCUACAAGAGUGGGUCGUCAAAAACACAAAUAGAUUUUCUUCUAAUGAGGAAAGGGGACCGUAUAACUUGUAAGGAUUGCAAAGUUAUACGGGGAGAGAGCUUGGCUAAUCAACAUCGCUUGUUGGUGAUGGAUGUACAUAUCAAAAGAGAGAGAAAAAAGAACAAGACUUGGAAGUGCCCAAGGACUAGAUGGUGGAAUCUAAAAGGAGAAAAACAAGCCAUUUUCAAAGAGACAGUAAUCACCCAAUGCGUGUGGGAUAGAGAGGGGGAAGCUAGCCAAAGGUGGGAUUCCAUGGCUAGUUGUAUCUGAAAAGUAGCAAAAGAGGUAUUAGGAGAGUCCAAGGGCUUUGCUCCACACCAAAAGGAAUCUUGGUGGUGGAAUGAGGAGGUACAAACAAAGGUGAAGGCUAAGAAGGAAUGUUGUAAAGCCUUAUACAAGGAUACGACCAAUGAAAAUGGUGAAAGGUAUAGAAAAGCAAAGCAAGAGGUGAAGAAAGCUGUGAGAGAAGCUAAGCUAGCGGCUUAUGACGAUAUGUAUAAGCGACUAGAUACCAAAGAAUGAGAGUUGGAUAUCUAUAAACUAGCUAAAUCAAGGGAAAAGAAGACAAGGGACCUAAACCAAGUGAGGUGCAUCAAUGAUGAGGAUGGAAAGGUUCUUGCUACAGAGAACGCGGUCAAAGACAGAUGGGGAGGUUAUUUUCAUAAUCUUUUCAAUGAAGGACAUGAAAGGAGUACUUCUUUAGGGGAGUUAAGUAACUCAGAAGAGUGUAGAAACUACUCCUUUUACCGCCAAAUUAGGAGGGAAGAAGUGGUUGUAGCUUUGAAAAAGAUGAAGCAUAGAAACGCGAUGGGCCCAAAUGAUAUACCGAUUAAAGUGUGGAAAGUCUUGGGAGAGACGGGUAUAGCAUGGCUCACUGACCUUUUCAAUAGGAUUUUGAAAACGAAGAAGAUGCCAAAUGAGUGGCGAAAGAGCACUUUGGUGCCUAUCUACAAGAAUAAGGGUGACGUACAAAAUUGCAUGAACUAUAGGGGUAUUAAGCUAAUGAGCCAUACAAUGAAGCUCUGGGAGAGAGUCAUUGAGCAUAGAUUGAGGCAAGAGACACAGGUUUCGGACAACCAAUUCGGAUUCAUGCCAGGGCGCUCAACCAUGGAGGCAAUCUAUCUCUUACGAAGAUUGAUGGAAAGAUAUAGAGAUGGGAAAAAGGAUUUACACAUGGUCUUUAUAGAUUUGGAAAAAGCGUAUGAUAGGGUCCUAAGAGACAUUCUUUGGAAGAUUUUAGAGAAGAAAGGAGUACGAGUAGCAUAUAUCCAAGCUAUAAAGAUAUGUAUGAUGGAGCAAGGACUGCCGUAAGAACUCAUGAAGGACAAACCAAAAGCUUCCCCAUAACUGUAGGGUUACAUCAAGGCUCAUCCUUAAGUCCUUACCUUUUUGCUUUUUGCAGUGGUAAUGGAUGAGUUAACAUGACAUAUUCAAGAUGAUAUUCCUUGGUGUAUGCUUUUCGCAGAUGAUAUAGUGUUGAUAGAUGAAACUCAGGAAUGGGUAAAUGUGAAGCUUAACCUUUGGAGAGAAGUGUUGGAUUAGGGGUGAGGAUCGGAGAUCAGGAAAUACCAAAGAGCGACCGUUUUUGCUACCUAGGAUCUAUCUUGCAAAAGAACGGAGAAUUAGAUGGAGACCUCAACCAUAUAAUACAAGCUGGAUGGAUGAAGUGGAAGGGUGCAUCAGGCGUGUUGUGUGACCGCCGUAUGCCACUGAAGCUCAAAGGAAAAUUUUAUAGGACGACAAUAAGGCUGGUGAUGCUGUAUGGCACAAAAUGUUGGGCGGUGAAGCAUCAACACGUACAUAAAAUGGGUAGCGAAGAUGAGGAUGCAUCGUUGGAUGUGUGGGCACACGAGAAAGGAUAAGAUUAGGAAUGAGGAUAUCCGAGGUAAAGUAGGAGUAGCCGAAAUUGAAGGAAAGAUGAGAGAAAAUCGGUUACGGUGGUUUGGACAUGUGCAAAGAAGGCCUACUGACGCUCCAGUUCGAAGAUGUGACUACGGGACAGAGGUUCGGGGCCGAAGGGGUAGAUGAAGACCUAGGAAAACUUUGGAAGAGACCCUAAGAAAAGACUUAGAGUACUUGGAUCUCACGGAGGACAUGACAGAGAACCGAGCACAAUGGCGUUCGAGGAUUCAUAUAGCCGACCCCACUUAGUGGGAAAAGGCUUUGUUGUUGUUGUUGUUGUACAAAAUUGUAUAAUCCUUUUGAAGCAGUGGGGAGCUGCGGUUUCACUCACGCUUUCAAAUUUUGACCACUCGCUCAUUGUAAUAUCUCUCUCUCUUUCUCUCUCUCCCUCCAUCCCUCCCUCCCUCCCCUAUUACAUUUGGGUUUUCUCCUGUUUCUCUUUUUGUUGAUCUAAUUUGUGGUGAAGCUGUUUAGUUUGCUUGAAUUGGAAUGUGGGUUUAAUUGAGUUUCCUUUUGUUUGUCAAUUCGAUUUUGGGAGGAUUGGCAUGUGGUUGUUCAGGCCUUUACAACCACUUUGUGUCUGGCAAAGGUAAUAAUAUUACUCUUCGUUUCAUAAGCUUCAUUUUUAAUGCCCAGAAAAAUUUGGAAUUGAGAACAUGAUGGGGUUUUAGGCAAUACCUAAGUUCUGUAAUUUUCCCCGUUUGUUGUUAUUAGCAAUUUCUUGAAUCAUGUUAGUUUGAUAGUGUUCUGCUGCCCAGGAUUUUUUUUUUGAAUUUAAAAUAUCAUGGGAUUGGGGUUUUAAGAUUUUAACAACAAUUGGUAAGAAUUUUGGUGAAUUUUGAUGCUCAAUGGACUUUGUUGAAAAUUUGGAAUUAAGACCAUGAUGGGGUUUUGGGCAAUACCCAAGUUCUGUAAUUUUCCCCGUUUGUUGUUACUAGCAAUUUCUUCGUUCAUGUUAGUUUGAUAGUUUUUUGCUGCGCAUAUUUUUUUUUUUUGAAUUUAAAAUAUCAUGGGAUUGGGAUUUUAAGAUUUUAACAACAAUUGAUAUGAAUUUUGGUGAAUUUUGAUGCUCAAUGGACUUCGUUAACAGCUUCUAACUUUGUUAUGCAUUGAAAUAUUGGUGGGUUUUCGUCAGAGUUUGCUUAUAUCUUUGUAUAGUAUGUCUGUUGUAUUAUCUUGUCACAGAUACCUUAGUUCAGUAACUUGAGAAGCAGGGGGAGAUAAUAGACUAAUCAAGGAGGUGCAUGUGAUAAACGAUAAACAAGUAAGCAUCAUCCUCUUCCUUCUUUUGUUAUGGUUGGUUGUAUAGAGAAUUGAGAAAAAAGUUGAAGACAAUUUUGCGCUUUUGAGUUAUAUCAAUAAAAUGACAUUGAUUAGUUCACUUAAGUGUUGAAUCAUUCGUUAGUUUAUCUGUGGUGUGUGCUUGAGAAUGAAAGCAAUGGACUUUAUAUGGAAUUGAUGUUCCUUUUAAUGUCACUAAAGAAAGGAGUUGUUCCUUUAUUAGCAAUUAUAUGAAGUAGGCAUAUUAUGCAAUACAAUGUCUACAAUCGACUAUUUUACUUUUUGUAUAGUACAACUGUUGAUCGAAAGCCACAGAAACUACCUAAAGGUCAAAGAACUGUUUGUGUUAGAAGAACAGAAUAUGGUGUAAAGCUUAAAUUUUGGGCACUUUUUUUCAAUUACAAUAACUUGCAUGAAAGUUCAAUUGGGUUUGUUAUGGUCUCCAAGAAUUUUGGUUUGUUUGGUUACUAAUUAAUUUAUGUGGUGGGAGUUUAGUUUUUCCUUUUCUGCCUAUUUAUCUAUGAUUCAAAAUGGACCGUACAAUUUGCUAUAUAUAAAUUUGUAAUAAAAAAGCUCGAAAAAGAGGUGAAUUAGAAACAGUGAUGAUAGAGUGAUGGAGUUGAGAAGUCAAGAGUUUACGGGGUUUACUUGAAUUUUUGUAUGAUGUCCCUGGUAUGUUAGAUCAUUGAGACUAACUGUCUAGUUGGUUAAUCACUAAUUUGAAGUAUUUAAAGUGUAACUUUCCUUUAAAUCCUUUUCCUUUUGUAUUUUCAUUGGAGCACAGAUAAAAUAUAUUUCUUUUAUCUUUUUCAACCCCAAACUUUCAUUGUCUUCUGAGAGUGGUCCAACUAGAGAAUUGGAUGACAAGUUUAGGUUUAAUACAUACUUGAGUUCCCACAAGGAAGAUGGUAUUUUAGAAGUUACCAAAUUGGACACUAAGGAUAGACUUCUUAAAGAUACUGCUACAGUACCCAAGCAGGAAGGAAUAGAACCAGAUAGACUAUUACCGCCCAAAAAUAAAUUGGCUAGGUUGUUUAGUUGACAGAGUUCAUACGGGAUAUGUCCUCCCAGUUCGUUAUCAUUCAAUACAAACCUUGGAGAUUUUGUAGCUGUCACACCCUGAUCCCGACAUACGUUCAGGAUCGAUACGUGACGUCACAAAAAACUCGUGUCUCUCACAUGCCCCGCCUCCAAGAUAUGGCAAAUUACAACUCGAGAAUCAAAUUGCAAAUAAAUUUUUCGUAUACUUUAGGGCUGCAUCUAACUUCCUCGUUAGACUGCCUACGUACCCUCAUUAGGGAUCAAGCCAUUCGUAGUUCGUUAUUCACUAAUUUAGACAAUUAUUCCAGUGCGUUCUAACAGGAAUACAUAACAUUUUGUAAUAAAUUAUUAGAACUUGACAUGCAUGACAUUACCAAGUUCCGGCUACAAAACAAACCAACAUACUGUUCAAAAUUCUCAUUCCAUCCAUCAUAUAAAUUCCAUAUUUUCAGCACGAUACUUCCAUUCACAACAUGUAACAUAUCAAAUAACCAACGAAGCACAUAAUAUUCUCAAGCCACAUUGAUCAACUAAAAAUAAUCAUAAUAAUAACAACCAUAACCAAGGUCAUUCCCCAAUCUCGUCAAUCAAUCAAUUCAUGAAUUAAAGAUACAUGAUCUUAGCAUUUAAUUAUGUUAAUCAAUGCAUGUAGUAACAUAUCAUUUCACAAUUUAACCCAGGGAACUCUAUAUAAUACCCUUCUUGGAUUAUGAGCAAUAACAUGGUAAAUCUAUUUUAUAUUCACAAGGUCUAAUGUGGAUAAUUCUCAUUCACUUGGAUCUAGAGUUCUAGACUAACCCUUUGGAAAUAUGUGAGAGUAAGGAUUCCGGACCACUUAACAGAAUCCAACCAAAUCGGGUUCCGGACCACUCAACGGAACCACCAUGUCAAUCGGUUUCUCGUAAUCUAUCCAGACCUGUUGUAUGUAGAAUCAGUGCCAUCGAUCACAGUUAUAAAUCUCAAAUAUAAGUUCAUAAAUAUGAAUACAUAGACAAGUCUUAAUAACUCUGAAGGAAUCACCCAGACAUCCAACGACUUUUAUAAUUCAAACCACAAGAUUCUCAAAAUCCAUCGUUCAUAUGUACAUUAAACGCUAGGGUUAGAGGAACGCAGUUGGGCUGAAGCCUACAUAAGUAACCAAACAGGAAUAAGUAACCAAACAGGAAGUGGCCCCCCAAAGUGGAUUAACCAAGCAAAGACACCCUUGAGAAAAUAACCAAGUAGACAGUGACCUCCCAAUGCGGAUUAACCAAGCACAGUCACUCAUAUAGCUGUUAGAAAGUGAUCACCCAAUGCAGAUUAACCAAGCAUGAUCACUCUUAAGCAUACAUGCCAUAAGAAUCGCCCAAUGCGGAUUAACCAAGCGCGAUCCAUAUAUAGUAUGGUCCCUCAAUGCGGAUUAACCAAGCAGGACCACUAUUGACCCCCCAAUGUGGAUUAACCAAGCAGGGUCAAAAUAACUAAGUAGGUAGAGACUCCCCAAUGCGGAUUAACCAAGCAGAGUCACACCUACAAAACUGUUAGGCAGUGAUCACCCAAUGCGGAUUAACCAAGCAUGAUCAUCCCUAAGUAUAAAUGGCCAUAAGGAUCGCCUAACGCGGAUUAACCAAGCAGGACCAUCCGUGUACCGCUGCUACAUGGUGCAGAAAAUUCAAUACACACAACUUACCCAUCAUUUACCCCCAUGGGUUACAACAUAAUCACCUACACCAACAAUUCUCAUGCCCACCAACUCAAAUGCCCCACAAGCAUAUAAGUUCUACAAAAAUACUUCUAAUAGGAAUCUACGAUCAUAUUGUCACAACAUUUAUCGGACUUACCCUUCACGUUACUAAAAAGAUAAUUAAACGCACAUAUAUCACAAUCAUCAUCCGUACACAAGCCAAUUCAUGUUUAAUAAACAUAAGUCUAUGGCUAAACAUAUAUAUAUAAAUCAUAUUUCAAUAGAAAUCCUAUUUAUAAGGCCAAUUCAUAUUCACAAUUGAUAUCAAUAUAAGAAAUUAAGAUAAUAAACAAUAUCAAAAAUAUUCAAGUCACUCUCCAACCAAUGUAGGCCCACUCGACUUCACUUAAGUCUCCCGUAGUACUAAUUUUUGUAUCCAGAACGUCUCGAGACAUGUUGACCAAAAGUUAAACUCGAUUUAGUAAAUUCCACAAUUCUACACAAUUCAAUACGGAAAAUCAGAGCAAACGGAUUUAUACCUAUGAACCAAAGUCCACAUUAUGGCCUAGAAACAACCUCAAUUUCACUCAAUUCGCGUCGAAACCCUAGAAAAAGGUGCAGUUCAAUUCAACGUCAAGCUCAAUUCCGCCGCCUCCAAUGUCGAUUGGGCUUUGUUCCUGGACUCCAAAGACACCUGAGGGUGGUGAUGGUUGAAGAAAAUCCCUUCGGAAAUGAAACGGAUUGCCCCGUGGCAAACACCCAAAUUGUUCUUCUUCACGAAAUUACCCCCAAAUUCCUUCAAAUUUUGGAUGAAAAUGGAAGAGGGAAUGGCGAGAUGAUGCUCGGGCAUGUUAAAUUGGUCCAAUUCGACGGAAAUCCGAUGGAAAACCAUCGAAAAAUAUGGAAAAAUGGGUUGGGUCGCGCGGGUCAAGGAGAAGAACCGUUUUCCCCCUCCUUCUCACCUUCCCUCCCUUCCCUCCUUUCUCCCUUUCUGAUUGGGCACUCCCUUUUCUCUCCCCCCUUUUCAUUGGUUCCUUUAACUCACAUAAAUAUCCUUUUCCUCUUCCCCACCAGAAGGGAAUUUAUAAUAAAUUUAAAAUCUAUAGAUUAGUAACACAACUUCAAAUGUCCGUAUCUAUACCGUUAUAAUCCGGACUCGCAAAUGGCUUUUGCCUAUGUGCUCGUAGUUUCAAAAUCUAUUUGAAUACGUUACUUGUGACCUUGAAAGGUCAACGAAUUUUAGAUAAUUACUUUCCAAACUUCAAAUUUCAUAACUAAUUUAAUUAAACUCUAAAUUCAAACAAUUUAAAAUAAAUUCUCGAAAAAAUAAUAUAAAAUCUCAAUAAUACAAAUUUGUAGGUGAUAACAGUGAAAUCCAAGAACGGGAUUUCACAAUAGCCUUUGUAUUGAAGUUGGAAUUGCUCUGCUCAACUGAUUAUUUCCCAAGCUUAAAUCUAUCAAGUUGUUGAAGUUUCCAAUAUCAACGGGAAUGUUACCCUUGAUGUUGGAAAUGCUUAAAUCAAUAGACUACAACAGUUUGAGUAUUUUACGACUUGAAAUAUACGGUGUACAAACGGGCAUGCCUUAAAUGAUAUUAUUCAUGACAUUCAUAAAGUUCAUGUCGUAAUACUUGCUCAUAAUCUCGCAUUCACGACAUCACUUUUAUGCUAGUCAUUAAAUAAAAAAAAAUUUAAGUGUUGUGUGGCAUAUUUGACAAUUUAUACGAUGCACUUUCCUUCUCUUUUAAGGCUUUAUGUUAUGUCGUAGAGUAAAUUUUCUAUAUAUUUGGGUAACUACGUUUUAUAGCACGAAUAACACGUCAUAAAUAAUGGCGUCUAACUUCCGCCUAAAUUUCUCACCCCGUGCGUUCUUUUAUUUUUCUUGAAUCAAGAUCUCACGGCUUCCUCAACAUCCCUUUAUUUUUCUUUAAUAAAUGAUGAACCGGUACCCAGCCUGGACUGUUGAUUUCAGAUCCAAAGAUAUUCAAUCUACACCUAUCUCAGGUUUUGUCUGUCUCUCUCUGCCUUUCUCACGCAGUCUCUUUCUCGACUUUCACUCUUUUCAUAUUCGUAUCUCCCAAUCCCAACAACCUCGAUAUCUCUCUCGUCUCAAACCACGGUACCACCAUCAUCUUGUGUCAACUCUCGACUCUUUCCCACCACCUGCACUUGACGGUCCUGACUCCUGACCACCAUCUAUGUUCCAAAUAAGGUAUGCAGUUAGGGAUUUAAGAUUGAAAUAAAUUGGGGUUUUCUAGAUUUAGGGAUUUGAAUUUGAAUUUAGAGAUUUGGAUUUCGUCAAUUCUGGAAUCAAAUGUUAAUUAUAAUUUGUUUAAUUUUUGGCAAUUUGAGUGCAAAAUUAGGGUAAUUAGUGCUGUAGUUUUGUUUUAGUUUCUGUCAUCUGUCAGUACAAAAUCACGGCUUUUAAUUUUCAGUUUACAAGUCAUCAUAAGGAAUAGAUAAUUCUAGAAUUAUAGUGCAAACUCUUGAUUUUCAGUUUUAGACUUGGUUAUGUUUCAAAAUUCUGAAUAGUUUUAAUUAUGGUGUUGGGGAUUUGUUAAUUUUGCUCUCUCUCUCUCUCUUUAUGAUUUGGUUGGGAUUGCAGAGUGACUUGUGUUUCUUUGUAUGCACGCCCCGGACAUCCAGGUCACAUGGGGUAACUCAGCAAGGUUCUACUUUUGCAAAGGAGAUGGAGUUGUUACAGACUUAUAGUGAUACUGCAAUCCAAAUAAUCUGUUUUGAAAAUCCAAAUAAUCUGUGAGUAUGUUGUAGUAGUAGAAUAACACUGUGGGGCUUUAGCCUAGUACUUCAAUUAUUGACUUUGUUGCUUAGCCUAGUACUCUGUGAGUCUGUUAUAGUAGUAGUGUAGUACUUUGUUUAGUUUGUACUAUUGGAUAUUGGAUAAAAAUGAUAAUUUGAUUGAGUUCCUUUGGUAUGAUUUAUAUUCACUUAUUUAUUCUAUUUCUUUUUACUAUUUUUCAGGUAGCAUUCAAGUCUUUGGUGAAUUUUUAAAUGAAGAGGUUGCAAAUGCAACGGUAACGAGUGGAAAAGUUUAUACUUAAUUUUAUUAGUAUUAAAGUCUUUAUCAAUUUCUCAGUUAACAUUUUGUUUUGACUAGCUCUUAACUUACCAAUCGAAUCCAUCUCCUUUGACUAGCUAGAGUAUCUUGGUUGGGAAUUCUAUCCAUUCCCAGCGCCUAGUUUCCAAAGACGAAGUUGAGACAGGUUGGGAACUCUCUCUUUCUCUCCUUUUGUUUUAGUUCCCAAUAAAGUUGAUUGGAUUGAAGAAAAUAGAACAAUAUGAUUAUUAAUGAAAUUAUUGUAUUAUAGUAAAUGUGUAAUUUUGUCGAUUCUUUUAUAUAUAUAUAUAUAUAUAUAUUUAUAUAUUAAAAAUUAAAAUUAAAAUAAAUGUAAGUUACUGUAUGCAAAAUCAGCAGUAAUUGUUAAUGCUAGUCUUCGUUUACGAUGAACGACGUAUGCCGUAAUUGGUUUCACAGUGUUACGACACUCAACAAACGCGGUAUCAAAUAUAAAUUACGGCACACAGGCAUGCCGUAAUUGUUUUUGCAAUAUUAUGACACUUCAUUAACGUUGUAUCUAAUACCAAUUAAGACGCGCAACGCACGCCUUAAAGGGCAUUUACGACGUGUUUUGCUUAAAUUAUUCAUGGCUACUAGAGAACGUUUUUUUACAAAAACAUAUUUUACGGCAGGGGUUUUUACUGCUUGGGGACUCACGCCAUGAAUAAUUGUUUACAACGCUCUUUGUGCGCCGCAAAAGACCAAUCCUGUUAUGUAACAAAUGCUCAUUUUUCUUUUGCACUCUUUUAUGAAUUUCAUUUGGAUGGGAAUGGUUAGGUGACAUUACUUGUUACACCAAAAAAGGUCUGGUUUUGGUAUAAAAGCUUAACUGCAAAAAGGCAUCUGAAAGGUUUCGUUUAGCUACUAAGAAAGUUUGGGAGGGGCCAAACGUCUUAGGUUGAGAUUACAUAUACAAGGGUGUUAGAUUUACAUAAUGGGUUUACAUAAUGAGUUGUUGAUGACUACAUACGCAUUGAGAAUUUAGCUUUUGUCUUUGUGUCUGAUGAGGUAGUGGUUUUUUUUUUUUUUUUUUUUUUGGUGUCAUUCCAUUUUAAUCUUAGUUCCAUUUAAAUGAAGACAUUUGAAGAACCUAAUGUAAAACAUCCGUACAAGCAAAACACAUCUUAGCAACGCCAAUAAAAUCAUCUACGAGAGUUGAUCCAAUCCAGGCAGGCCGCAUUGGCGGGGGGGGGGGGGGGUUAUUGAAGACAAAGUUGCCGAGAUCCAUAUUAAAACUCCAAUUUUGCAACUGAUGAGCAACACAAUUCCGCUCCUUGGAAACAUGCUUCAUGCUUCAGGUCAGCUCACAUCUAACCAAUUGACUCAUCAAUGUUUUGCAUCUACUCACAAUUGUAUCAAGAGGAUAAUAGCUCUCAACCAAAUUUUGUUAGAACAAAGUGACAGCAAACACCUUUGUCAAUAAAAUUUCUGUGUCCCAAAUUGACAGAGAACUCCACCUGCACCAAUCUUGAACCAUCAAUAUUAUACCAACGAAUAUUAGGAGGUUCCCAAGCAAUGGGAGCAGCCUUCUAUUAGGUUUAUGGGGGAGAACCAACUCAAGCUUUCACCCAGUUCUUGACAUUUUGCGUGUUUACUAACAAGCAUGGAAUCUGAAGGGCUAGUUGAUUCGUAACUCAAUACUUGAAAAUUAGGAAUCAAAUCAAAAUGUUUAUUUUUUAUUGAUAACACAUUUGCAUAUUUAGUUUAAAAUUUUGGUUACCUGUAUUAUCCUAAUGCAAAUAUCUUUUGACAAAUAAAAAAUACAUACAAUGAUAAUUUUGAGUGGUGAUAUCCACACUAGGGGUGCAACUUGAGUUAGGCCAAUCCGAACUCGCACAUGUCCAACUCGACUUUAAACCCGAACAAGAAGGUUUUUUUUUUUUAAGUUAUAACCCGCCCGAACGUAACCCAUUUCAACUCGUUCAUUGAUUGGGUUAAGUUGGGUUGAUCAUUUGUGUGAAAUUCUGUUCCUAGAUUUCACUGUUAUAAUCUACGUAUUUGUAUUAUUGAGAUUUUAGAUUAUUUCUCGAGAAUUUACUUUAAUUUGUUUGAAUUUAGAUUUUAAUUAAACUAGUUACGAAGUUUGAAGUUUAGAAAUUAAUUAUUUAAAAUCAUAGACUUUUCGAGGUUAUAAUUUAUAUCUUCAAAUAGAUCUCCAAAGCACGAACGCAUAGGUGAAAGCCGUUUGCAAGUCCGGAUUAUAACGGUAUAGUUACGGACAUUUGAAGUUGUUUUACUAAAUUAUAGAUUUUAAAUUUAUUUUAAAACUCCCACCUUGUGGGAAAGGGACCAUUGAGAUAAAAGGGUGAGGGACCAAUUAGAAAGGAGGGAUGUUUCUUAAAUAAAUAAAAAAAAAAAAGAGGGAGGAGGUCUGAUUCUAACCCGUUUUGGGGGGAGAUUGGACUCGUUAACCCACCAACUUGACCCACUUGUAUCUCCUCUGUUCGAGCUUCGUUUUGGGUGAUCUUGGUGUCCAUGGAAAGCUCUUGACGAGCCCUACAUCUCUGUAGUGUUAGAUUUCCCAUUUUCUUUUCCAUCUUUGCAGUUCGAAGCCACAAAGCUCACGACUUUUUCGGCGAUUUUAUCAUUUUUCUGGUGAUUCCGGCAACCAUUUCCUUUGAUUGAGGUAUGAAACUUCAUCUACUCUUCAUAAUCUUCAAGUUGGUAUGCUUAGUUUGUGCUUUUGUAUUCAUUUUAGAGUUAGGUGUUUAGAACCCUAGAAAUCCGGUUUUCUUCGAUGAAUUUGGACGGUUUCCGGUUAGAAUUUAUUGUCGGCCUAGAUGUGAAGUGUUUCCUUUGUUGAGCUCUAGCUACCACGUAAAUUUGAGCUCACUUAGUUAAUGUUGAAAAUUCAGGUUUUCUAAACCCUCCACCUUGGCUACCACCACGUGUGGCGGUGCGUGGGACGGUCUACGAGUAUUGUCUAAGUACCAUAUACCUUCUAGUGACCCUAUGAACCUAUGUCUAGCUCGGUUUCCUGAAAUUCAAUUGUUUGGUGUGGUGAUUAAAUUGGACCACCACUUGUUUGUGUGAUUGAUAACAAUCCGAUCGUUGGAUCGUCGUACAAUUUUGUGAGCACCCUAGUUAUCAGUUGUUGGACCUUUGAGAACUUAUAGAUCGGAAAUCCAAUGUGCAAAUCUUCCGGAUUGAAUAACCUUAGAUUGUUGACCUUAAUGGACCUACCUUAUCGACGGUUGACGUUCUAGUCAACGUGCUCUACUCUAGAGUGUCGUUUAUCUCUAGUUUGUUGUUGAGGCUUGAUGGAGCUUAGUUGGCUCAUUACGAUGACGUGUUGUUCCCAGUUGACGUGUGUCUCGAUAUAUGUAUUAGUGGGACCAUAUUGAGUUAUACUUGUUUAUUAAAUGUGCUUUCUAUUGAAUUGUUAUUUUUAUUUUUAGCAUUGAUCUAUGUUUAUUAAUUGUGAAUCGACUGUAGCUUGGAAACGUUUAUGAAAUGUGGUUAGAUAUGUAUGAUUAGUAUGAUGUGUAUGAUUGUUUUUAUGACAAUGUGAACCCAGAAUCUUAUGAGAAGUAUUAUGUAGAACCUUUAUGCUUGUAUGAUAAGAUAGUGGUCAUGAGAAGUUGAUAAUGCAAGUGAUUACGAUGUAAAUCAUAGCAGAUGAGUUAAGGGUAAGUGGUUUGUGUGUUGAUCUAACUGCAUCAUGUAGCAGUGGUACAUGGAUGGUCCUGCUUGGUUAAUCCGCGUUGGGGGACCAUACUAUAUAUGGAUCGCACUUGGUUAAUCUGCGUUGGGCGAUCCUUCUGGCCAUUUAUACUUAGGGGUGAUCAUGCUUGGUUAGUCUGCAUUGGGUGAUCACUGCCUAACAGUUCUAUAGGUGUGACUCUGCUUGGUUAAUCCGCGUUUAGGGGUCACUACCUACUUGAUUAUCUUGACCCUGCUUGGUUAAUCCCUAUUGGGGACCAUACUAUAUAUGGACCGCGCUUGGUUAAUCCGCGUUGGGCGAUCCUUAUGGCCAUGUAUGCUUAGGAGUGAUCAUGCUUGGUUAAUCCGCAUUGGGUGAUCACUUCCUAACGGCUGUAGAAGUGACUCUGCUUGGUUAAUCCGCAUUGGGGGGUCACUGCCUACUUGGUUACUUCCUCAAGGGUGGCUCUGCUUGGUUAAUCCGUUUUGGGGGGCCACUUCCUGUUUGGUUACUUAUGUAGGCUUCGGCCGAACUGAGUCCCUCUAGCCCUAGUUUUUUUUGGAAUCUUGGUGGUUUGAAUAGGAAAAGUCGUGGGAUGUCUGGGUGACUCCUUCGGGGUUUUCAGCUACUUGAUUAUGAUUUCAUAAAGCAUGAUUCUAUACUCGAUGUUUAUAGAUCGGGAUCGAUGGUAUGGUUUUUAUUGAAUAUCACAUAAUUGUAUUAUUGUCACUCGCCCGAGCUUCGCAACUUAACCGAGUUCUGAUUUGCCAGUGCACCAUUCCCUUGAUGUAGGCACUGAUUUUACAGAUGACAUGUCUGGGUAGAGUACGAGAAACCGUUUGGUAUUUUGGUUCCGUUGAGUGGUUCGGAAUCCUUGCUUUUGCUUAUUCCCAUAAGAUUAGUCUAGAACCCUAGAUUCGAGUGAAUGGGAAUUACCCACAAUAGACCUUGUGAAUUUAUAUACCAUGUUAUUACUCAUAACUCAAGUAGGGAAUUAUAUAGAGUUCUCUAAUUGAAUUGGUGAAAUGGUAUGUUAUCUCAUUGGUUGAUUAAUAUAGUUAAAAGUUAAAAUCGUGCAUCUUUGAUUCAUGAAUUGAUUAAUUGACGGGAUUGUGAAAUGACGUUGGAUAUAGUUGUUAUUAAUAUGAUUAGAUUAAUUAAUGAAUGUGACUAGAGGAAAAUAUUGUGCUUGGUUGAUCCUUUGAUAUGUUACAUGCUUGGAUUGCGAUAUUAUGUUGAAAACAUAGUGAUUUAUAUGAUGGGUGGAAUGGAAACCUUGAAUGUCAUGUGAGUUUGUUAUGUAGGCCUAAACCUAGUAAUUUCAUGCUUGUUAAUUCUAACAAUUGAUUGAGAAAUGCUAUGCUUUUUGAUUUGACGUACUGUGAUAAAAGUCGGUGUGUAGUGAAUGACGAACUACGAAUGGCUUGAUCCCUAUUUAGGGUACGUAGGCAGUCUAACGAGGAAGUUAGAUGCAACCAUAAAAUGUACGAAAAAUGCUAUGAAAUUUGAAUCUUGAUCUAUACUUUGUACAUAUCCCGGAGGCGGGGUAUGUUAGAUAUACGGGUAUUUGGUGAUGUCACGUGUCGAUCCUGGAUGUAUGUUGGGAUCGGGGCGUGACAAUUUGCCCGUCCAUCUCCAACCCGAUUAAUUAAACCCAAUCUAACAAGAUUGUAAAUCAUAUCAAUUUAUGCUCAUACUACAUCCAAGUGGGCCAAGUCCAAAAAUAAGAAACUUUGAUUAGUUAGCUCAUAUUCAUAAUCUCUAAAUCCUAAAGCUUUAUAAUCAUUAGUCUCCAAAACCUAAAUUCUUUGUGUUUCGAAGCAAUUGCUCAUCAACUUUGAUUUAUUUAUGAAAUUAAAGUUAACUAGCUUUGAUGCUACUUGGCUUAAUUUUUUUAGGAAUUCUUGCAAACUAAGUUAUUACAAUAUUACACUCAAAAUAGUUGGGCAACCCCGAACCCA
rnacentral:lncRNA from 1 species